UCCCCCGUGUCGUUCAGGAGCCCAAACAAAGUUAGCGUGCUACAAUAUCGGACAGUAGAAACCAACCAGAAAGUUUGGAAAAUUGUCUGAAUCCUCCUUUGGCCACGACUGCCGACACAAGCAAGAAAACAAAGUAAAUACCGGAGACUCUGGAGGAAUAACGGGCGCUUAAAACGGAGGUAGACCGGACAAGAGCUAAAAAGCCGGGUCAACAUAAACCAUGGGGGACGCUUGGGGAUCUUGGUGACCCUGUAACCUUUCUGCUGGACAGGUAAACCGCUUUAACAAAGUAAGACAAGUGUCUGUAACAGAAGUGUUUCUUGUCAAACGGACCUGCUGUAGCGUGUUGUAGCGCCAUCGCUAAACUGUCCUCCCUCGGGUCCUGGACUAUGUCACUUUAUCCUCGUUGUAGAAGUCCUGCAAACAUUGUGUUUGCUGGUAGUCUGUUGGCAUCUACAGUAGCACCAAUGCUUUUGACUUUCACCUUGACUGGGCCCCAUUUGUAAUGAUCUGAAUUAUCUGUUUGUGGGCGGGGCUUGCUGGAGCAGAGAGGAGGAGCUGAGGGGAAAACUGGUUGGGAGGGGUAGAGUUUACAUUCAAGAUUUCUCCCAAAAACCGGAACUAACUCAGAUCCUGACUACCCUACCUUUUAAUUAUCACACAUCAGUGUUGAAUACUUGAUUCUGAUUGGUCCAAACCCCGAAACAACACGUCUGCAGUCUUGCACACGGGUUUACCUCUUCCUGUUGACGAUGUGGCAAAAACAGUCAACCUCAUUUCUCAGCUUUUUGUUUGUCUUUAUCGAUCAAACCUGUAAAACUCUCAUGUUAUUCAGCUGAGAUGCAUGAAACAUGUUCGGUGGUUUACUUUUAAAUCAGAGUUUAGUGACCUCCAGGAACAAAUACUCGAGAAAACACGCAGCAGAUAAGUAAAAAUGGCGCUCAAGGUGAGCUAAGGUUUGAAGGGAAUCAUGUUUAUAUUCACAUUUUCCCUGCAGCUCCAGUUUUGUAUUGAGACUAUAUGAAAUGCAUUUUCCAUGGCACACCUUCAAUACGAGGUAAAUAAUGAGACGGGCUCCGGUUGGUUCGCUUUCUUAUCUCGCCGGUCCAAAGAGGAGCGUUUCUGAAGGCCAAACAAAGCCGCCUCUUUGGGGAGAGGAUGAGUCCUUGUUAUAAAAACUUCAAUGUAAACCUAUACAGAAAGAAAAAAACAGUUUUAAUACUGAAAGGAUGCACAGGAAAGCACAGGGAAGCUGCUCAUAAGUGAACAUAAACCAACAUUUGUUUUCUAUCUUUAUUGUUGGUGAUUGCAUCUCUCCAGGAAGGGAAGGAGACACGGCAGAACGGCGGUUAUGAGGAGAAAUAAACAAACGAGAGCAAAUUUCUGCAAGACUACAAAUGCCAUGGUAACAGCACACACUGAGCGAUUCUUCUCUGUCUGCAGACCGAGCACAGGUUUGGACUCAGCUGCAUUCAGGAGGACUCCAUCUCAUCUGAAAAACACUUCAACACGCCGAACAAAAAACACCACAUUUCCCUCCUUGUGUUUUGAAGCUGUAACUUGGAUCCCAAAGGCAUCAAACAGCGUUGUGUUUUUUUUCCUUCAGCGGCGGAGAAUAAUCUCAGCCCCCCCGGUGCUUUUAUUGCUACUGUAUCACUUUCAGAGCCACCUCGGAGCGAGGAGGGGGGUCUGCCUGCUUUUGUUCUGCGAGCUGUCGCCGCUGUGCGUCGUAGGUGAGGAAUAUGGGCGCUGACUUUGUCGAACAAUCGUAACCCUGCGUCUGAAUAAAGGCCAGACUUUCCUCUCUCUUCUGGGUCCUGUUCAAGCUCUUUACUUACAGCUGAAAUAUUGAGAUGCUCUCUGCCAGAACUUAAAAGGAAAAACACUCAGGAGGGAUUACUCAAACGGGGGCAUGGCCAUGACUACGAAAUUGAAUCGUUCCCCGCUGGGUUUAUCUUUGCCAAAUGCUAUUUUUUAUCGCGUUGAAAUGAGCGGGGAACUAAACGGGGAGCGCGAACAAAGGAACAACACCUGCAUGUGUGAUUAGAAAUCACUCACUGAGCCCUGGGAAGCCAUGCUAAUGUUCUCUCUGUGCCUUACUGUACCGACUGUGCAACCAACACUGCAACACAUGCCGGCUCCACCUGCCGCCCCAGAGGCAUCUGCGCUGAUUCGAAGUGAGCUACUCAGUUUCUGUUUGUGAUUCAUGCAGAAAUAAUAAUACAGUUUCAACCAGGAGGACUUUCACACAGCUGAGGUCUCUGCAGAGGUCGGCCAAUCAGACGUCAUGGAGUUGGUUUUGUAGAGACUCAGACCUGCCGGGUUUAGAAGGCCAUCAGGAGACGCACACUGACAUCAGAGCUCGACCAGAAUCAGGCGUCAUUAGUAUUUCAUGCAGUAACGCAUUCUCACAGUAGCUGCAUUUACAUGGGCACAAAUAAUCGGAAUAAAUGCGCCAUGUAAACAUGUCGAUCGGAAGAUUACGAUCCAAUUUGGCUCAAUUGGAGAGAAGUUGCAUUAUUCCGAAACGCGUCCAUGUAAAGACUUAUUCUGAUCGACUCUCUAACCUGACUCGAUCUUCUCUCUUUAGCCCUUUGCUUAUUUAUUGAGGUUUUUUAUUAUUAACACUCUGACCACAGGAGCCAUGUCUGCUCCUCCGGUAACAUAUGGCGUCCAUACAGCGUAACAAAGUCACAUCCUCACGCAGCGCAAUCUUUGACAGAACAGUCAAAUAAGUACGCAGUUUGAGAGAGAUUGCGCAUGUCCAAAUGCAAUGCAAUGCAAUCCAAAAUUUUGGACAUGUAAACAUGGCUCAUGUCUAAGAAACACUUGUGUUGCAUCAUGCAAACAAUCGCCACUGCUGUCGGUCAUGCACAGUAGGCUAUCUGGAGAUCUGGAGACGUUCGUAUGUUAUUAAUGCACCAACGAUUGUCGCUGGUUUGCAAGAUGUUACACAAUUUGUGUUUGGUACAGCUGAGAAAGGCUGGUUAGUGCACGGUGUCCCCACCCAGCGAAAAGUGGUUGAAAAGACGUCUUCACCACACGUCUAAACAACGUCUAGAUUCGGCCCGUCUAAAUAAAGCCCAGUUUCAACGUCUUUUUUUAGGCUAAAUUAGGACUGAAUCGAACCGUUUAAACGAAGCCCAGUUUUCAACAUCUUUGAUAAACUUCAGAGGGACGUGCAAAUUCUCUAAAAAACUCCAACAUCUCAAACACGGCAAGAGGUCAAGCUCCCUGACUUCUUCCAAGCAAACAGCUGCAAACUAUCGUCCUGUCACUCAAAGCAGCCACGCCCCUUUAUUAUGACCCACAACUCUAAACCCUCAUAUAAGUCGAAUAACUUCGCCUGCACAGUGUCAUGGCUGCAGGAUUGAGCCACAGUGACCGAAAGUCUCCUCCUCCUACCAUUUUAACUCAGUGUUGGAGCCUGAUUCACUUUUUUGCACGUCUUAAAAACACUUUGUUGGUUUGAUCCAUCGUCGAUAAAAGCAUUUACAUCUAUUAACAGCUUUGGCUCUGACCUGAAAAUGUGAAAACUGAGAAAUCAACGUGAUAACUGCUGCCGGUACCAUCUCCCUGUGAGCGCCGUGGUGCUGUGAGGGAGGGAAUCGGAGGUUUAAGCACGAUCGGACAGGAUGAAUUUAUAAUCUUAAUCACUCUUAGUGACCGUGACAAGCUAACAGUUAUUAAAGCCGGCCUGGAGGCACUUCACUUUGCCUAUAAUGUCUUGUGAAUGACAGUUAAUGCCGACCCAGACAAUCUUGUUAAAAAGCCUUUUAAUCAGCCCAGCAAUUAGGGAAAAAAGGCUCAUCCAUUCAUUUCUCCGGCCUCUCUCAGAGAUUUGAGUCCCCGCUAAUUGAAACUAAUUUUGAGUCAGGUGCCUGAGUAUUAUUAGGUUUUAUAAUAUCAGCCUGCGUACACCUGUAGUUGAACUCAGAAGGACACUCUGUAUUCAGGCAGGAAGAAUAAUCAUUCAAUUUCUCACACUACAACCCGCCCGCCUCUGUUCGCCGCUCUGCUUUUGUGGCGGUCCGUCUGCCUGGUAGACACUUGUCACAGCCCUGACUCAGAGUCCCCUCUCAGAAAAACACACCUGGCUGCUUUGUCACAGUGUCAUUCAACAGGCAUGAGAGAGCGAGACAGAGCGAGAGAGAGAGAGGUGAGGGAGAGUCGCUCCUGUGCUUCCAUGCACCCUUUCUAUUUGACUAGACUUUGGUGUGAAACCGCUCAAUAUUCUGGGUUCGGAGCGGCUGCUUUCCCAGAUCAGUGGAGACUGAAUACAUUAAGUUGAGGUCCGUGUUCAGGCAUGGUUGAAAUGCAAAUAAUUCACGCCCCUGAAAUCAAAUCAUUUCAGUACCUGCUGAACCCAAAAGAGAAUAUAUUUUUCUUUUUUUCCAGCCGGUACACAGGUACCUGCCUGAAGCAAUGAGAGGGAGCACAGUCAUGUUCCACAGGAGAGUCACUCAAGUGCAUAUUCAGACUUUUUCUAACUUUGUCCUCUUUACUCACUCUGCUGGUGAACUUUGGCAUCAUAGCAGAGACACGAGUAAAGAAACAUAUAACCAAACCGCUGACUGAGAACGCUUCGUCUGCACCGAGAAGACGGGUUAGAUCCUCGCUCUGUGGGCGACGUUCACGACUUCAGUGUGUUUGAACCAACGAACGUAAAAAUGAUGGAAAGGAGAAAUCUGCAGAACUACAAAUCCACAUCCUGUCAGAUUUCCACUGUAGCAGAGAAAUGUUACAAAUUAAUCACUUUACUGAGAUUAUACUGCAGAAGGUUAGAAGACUAAAACACACAGUUACAGCUCGAGAGUGAGAGUUAAAGGAGGGACUCAGAUUUUCAUUUCACUGUACUUUUUCGUCCCGGCUCUGCUGUCUCUUUUUUAUCGAGACUCCUCGUCCCUUGGGUCGUUCUCCUUCACUUUAUGCUAAUGUGUAGCGGGAGUUCCCUGAAGGUACAGUCUUUACAGACUUUAAGACAUCUGUGAGUACAGCAGUACAGCAGAAUCGCUCGUUCUGAACGAAAAACUGUUCCUGAAAAAGUGAAACGGUUGAAUUAGUCGUUUGAGAGACUGAGGAAGUGGAUGACAGGGAAGUACCUUCAUUAUGUGCACUUCCUCCAGUGACCAGCAGGGGUUGAUUCCAGUAUUUAUCAGGUAACAAAUCAUUGAACAACAGUCCAAUGAUGGGGUGAAACACUAGACGAUAUAGUCGCCAUAUUUGUUUGCCUUCCCACGUGUCGCUACCCGAUCCAUCCCGGAAGCCCUAUUUGUACCGCGCAUGUGCGAAACGUUUGUCACUUCCCCUCUUCGUAAUUUAAUGAAUUUUACGUCAGUGAGUCGUUACUAUUGCUACCUACCUGAUCCGUACUGCGCAGGUGCAAAAUUACCUUAUUUUAAAAUCUUUAUUUGAACUACCGAUCGAUUUCAGAAACAAGCCGACGAUGUGACAGGUGAGCUAGCUGAAGGCUCCAGAGAUAAUGCCGAGGCAUUCGCCAGAGCUCCUGCCCAGCAUGGUGAGACCUUUUGGGCCACAGAGAGCGCCACCACCCGGUCAAAAUUAUGGUUCUCUGACUUUUCAAAGAAUCAAGGGGGGAUUUAAUAACUUUAACUUUAACUUUAAUUAAGAAGAAGCCUACAUAUUAUGGACGAUGAAUUUCAGCAUUUGUAUACAGUCCUCGUUGGUGUUUGGCGGCUAUUUCUUCCGGCCGGCGGACUCCGGCACCAAAACUUGGAAUCUAAAUUUUAAAAUUUGAACCGUACCAGGAGAAUCGGAAUGCUAGUCCCGGUCCCCAUCGAUGCUUGAGACUCAAUGCCCAACCUUAAGCAACACCACGCCCCAAAACAUCCACCAUAACUGGGCGUUGCUAAUUGGACCAAUCAAAACUCCAGCGUUAUAAGUCACCUGAGGAUAUUUCCCAAACAUGACACUGCAGUUAAAGGUGAGGUGUCAUUAUCUCUGAGGUUUGGAGUGAAAACAGCCUUUUUUUUCACAGAUAAACAAGUGUUUUUCCUCCGAUUGCUUCAGGUUGUGUGGAGCUUGAUGGAUCCCAGUAAACUUUGAUGAGUUUUAUUAUAUCUGUUGCUCGGAUGGCUGGUGGAGAGAUAAAACAGCUGGAGGUAAAACUGAAGGUGUUCAUUGAUGCAGCUCGUUAUUUUUAAUUAACCCUCACAUCCAUUUGUGUUUCGCCGGCUGGGCUCGGAUUGUUUCCGCUCAUCCACCUGCAGAGAAACGGCAGCUCUGUGUUCCAGUUUCUCAUCAUUAGGAGAAGGUAUGAGAUGAUUUCCUGUUUGAACAAACUUGAUGCGUCAUUGGCGUUUAGAUCACACCUUCAAACAACAUGUUUGCACACUUUGGUGACUGUUUCUGGAUGCCUGCGUGUCUCGGCUGCACAGAGCGACUUUUAGGCGUUUUAAUCUGGCGUGUUUCUGCAGGAAUCCGAUGGGUUAAAACUGAGACGAUGGAGACACACAAACACACACACAGACAGACUCACACACAUAAACAGCGGUAAUCAGCCGCUGCUGAUGACUCGCCUGCCACUCCUCCCCCCAGGUUCCCGACAUCAUGAAAAUUAAUGUCCUGGCAUCCAUUUCUCUGGCACAGACGAGGGCUCAGAGGUGCAAUCGGAGCGCUCCUGUGUUUUGAUUCCGAUUUUAUUCCAACGUUUAUAUAUUUAUUUCUCUGUGUGUCCACAUGUGCUGAGACUGACACGCAGAGAAACAAGGGUCUGCAUGUGUGUGUGAGGAGGAGAAAGAGGGGAGGCGUAAUCGUUCAACAUGUCAGCGAGGUAAUUUCAUUUUUUCUCUGAGCCAUCAAAAGUUUGUCAUUUGGCAAUCACACCGUGUCAGACUUCCUUCACCUCCUGAGGAUUGCUCCAUUUUAACAUGCCGAACAAAUAUUGACGGGGGGACGAGGAGCAGGGCUCUGGAAUAAUAAUGGAGUGCCCAAAGGCGGAGGGACUGUGUGCUCAUGAGUGUUCCGGUGUGUUCAUUUAUAAAUCUGUUAAUUCAGACUAAAUAUAGAAAGACUCCAAAUGUCAGGAACGCUUACCUUCAUUUAAUGAGCAACUGUGGGUAAAAACGAACGCUACCUCUCCUCCGUAUUAACCUUGAAAAAUGGAUCUACAACCCUGGACAUCGUAGGAUUUCUCAGUCCCAGGAUGCAAAAUUGAAAAAUCAACAAUUUUAUGUCUGAAUCUCAAACGUAAAUCUGUUUAGAGUUUAAAAAUAUGAUAUCUAAACUUGUUUUAAGACAUUUUACAGUUCAAACCAUCCAGACUGACUCACGACUGUCGCAGCAGUUAUUCGCUAAAGACAUAAGACUGAGUCCUCGGGUUAUUUAUCGGUGUGUUUUGAGUUUAAUCUGGAUCAGACCAAUCAGAGUGUCUGCUAUCAUUCCCUUUAACAGUCAGGCUCUCCUGCAGACAGACAGACGGACGGAUGACUAUUUACACUGUGAGUUUCAGUAUUUCUGCUGGAUUAGACUCCAGGCAGCAUGUUUCACUCCCUUUUUGUGGAGAACAAACAGCUCAAUGCAAAGAUUUAUUUUUAGUGAAACAUCCAAACUGCACAACAGAAACUCUCAGAGACUCUCCAGGUGAAAUGAAAUCAGAGAAAAAAGAGCUCUGUGUCUGAUUUGACUGAUUUCUCCUGCUGCUGUUUAACUUUAUGUGCAUAAAGGAUAGUCUGCUCUUUAUUAAGACCUGUGGAGUCCUGUCUGUGUGUGUUUUUGCAUGUUUUGUAGGAAGUGUAUGCCUAACAGACAGCUUUGAGUUUUGUACUGCGUGCAUGAUGGAUAGUUUUCUCUUUAUCACUAUUUAUGGGCACAACAUCAAGAGUUAUGUUUGAGGGUUGUGAGCGUGUGUUUGUUUCUGCAUGUACCGGAGAGUGUGUGCAAGAGCAUGAAAAUAGAGUGCUACACGUCUCUGCAUGUGUGUUUCAAGAGGAGAAAUGCUUGUUUCUGUUUUGUCGAGAUAGCAGCACCACCUUAGCGUCUCGUUUUAAGACGAAUAAACAACACAAGCACUCGUAAGUUCACACGACAUAGGCACAGGGCACAAAAAUGAGUAUACUGCAUGAAGUAGAAAAUAGCAAUGACGCUCACACUGCACGCCAACCUGUUUGAUAAUAAUAUCCGUAAUUUGAGUUCCUGCUGGAAUAUAUGUCGACUAAAUCCCACUGAGCAAAAGACGGAUAUUAGACGUCUAAGUGUUUUUUAGACCUAAUUUCAACCGUGCCACGCUGCCGGUGAGGCACGAAAAUAGAGCCCUUGGUCUUAACUUGGUCUAAAUUCAGAUGUCUAAAAAACUUUCAUUUUUAGACCUGUGGUAGUCUGAUUUAAGACCAGUCGUCUAGGCUACAUUUAGACUUUUAUUAGACCUCUUUUAGACCAAAAGAAGCUCAGUGGGAUGUUCAAGUAGAAAAAUGCAUAAAAAUAGACCUCUGCAAGAAUCUGUGAGAUCCCAGACUCGUCAUUUCGCUCCAUGAUGUUCAGCAUUUUGCAAAAAUGUUGAAGUCUGAGGUUACUCUGGUGUUUUCACUAUCUGACCUUACUGACCCAUACUUACUGUCAUUUCUUUGCCUACACUUGGAUAAGUACACAAUAGUUUUGGAUAAAUAUGGACACGGUGUACAACAAGAGCUGCACACAAGGAAAAUAACACAUCAGCAGUCAUUCAGCGAACGCCUGCCUCUCUUUGACGCCAUCUUCCCGUGACAACCUGCUGCCUGCUGGGCUGGGUGUCGACAGCACUAAUCUGCUGCAGCAAAUAUAUCACUUCCACUUCCUCUGACCUCUGUUGUAUGAUACACACACAUAUGUGUAUUCUGCAUGGAAACAUUCACACCCUCACACAUGCAGUCGUACUCAGUCACUCGCACAGCUGCCGUAGCCGGAUGCUGCUAAUUGGCCAAAAGAGGCUCAAGAGUUCAGAUGCACCUCAAACAUGCUGAGAAGUUUUUAUCUUUAAUGCAAAAGGAGGAAGAGAAAAUGAAAACAAGCAAAGAAAACAUACAGGUUUAAAGCCACAGAUCACCUUAAAGGUCCCGCGGCGUCUUACAGCCGAGGGAUCCCUCUCUCAAUUUGGCUGACUCGUACAAACACAGGUAUGAGGUGAACCAUAUUGAACCGAGUAAAGUAAAGGUCAGGCGGUGUGUGGCGUGCGCGCAGAAGAAAGAAAGCCCACCUUCAACCUUCCUUCCAGCUUGUUAUGCAUCAAUUUUUAUUCUACAAACACCCCCCCUCCCCUGACAGUUGACCUUAUCUGCGGGCCCUGAAAUAUGGCCGUCACAGCGCUUGAUCGAAGGAGAAUUCAUCUUCUGAGCUGUACUGUAAUAUGUUGAGUUAAUUCACAGCUAAAUGUCAGGUGAAAUACUGGUCAGGGUUUUUUUCCUCCCCUCCGUCGGUGUUCUAAACAUAUCACUGAUUUUAAUAACGCCGCCUUGUCUCACACCAAUUGUUCGGCUGAUUUGCAGCUUGUAAAAUGUCAUUCAGCUCCUCGGCUCGUCUAUAGAGACUGUUUAUAAUCUCCGAUGUGAGCAUGCGGCACAAGGCUACGUACACAAACACCUGCUGAUACUGCAGUCGAACCCUUUCACCGCGUGUGACGACUUUAUCCGAGGAUGGUUUUCAGGCUGUUGUGCGGUUUCCUUCACAUCAAUAAAUCAUCGUCGGCUCAUCAUCAGGACUUUUCAGCUUCAUUUAUUUAUCAGUGUUGCCAGAGGGCGAAUCUGAGCGCUUCAGUAAUGUCACACAAUAUCAAGUAAAGGUUCUGCAGUGUAGGUCACAGCCGGUCUUUGGGCGUAACCUUCAUUUGAUUAAUGGCCUCAUUACUUCGAGUUCAAAUUGGGGAAAACUCGUAACUUGGAAGAGGAAGUAAGACUGUUUGCUGUGUGGUCUUUCUGUUUGAGACCUCGAAGAUUUACAGCUGUACUGAAAGACUUGAACUCUUCUUACAGAAACUGAAAGAGGUUUUGUCAGCGCUUCUGUCUACUCUUUCAUUUAAGCUUGUAAAACUGUCGGACUACGGCGCUGGGUGUUAACGUUUAACCAAAAAUCAAACUAAAUCAGGGAAACGAGAAAAUUAGAGGCAGCAGGAUGGACCCAGAGCUGUACUACAUCAAACAAGAGCUAACCUGAGCAUCCAGUCUCUUCUUAGUUCGUCGCCAUGGACGCCAUAUUGGAAACGCCGACUCAACCGAACUUUUAAUCAAACCAGAAAAAGAGACAGAAGUAGUAAACAGUCACAACAGGCCGGCCUAAAAAUCUACUCAAACCUGCUAAUGCUAAUUAUGCUAAUUAUGCUAAUUAUGCGAAUGCUUUCACAGUCCUCAGUAUAGAUAUCUUCAAAACAGAUUUCAUUUCAGCUUUUAUGUUAGUGGGCAGUACCUGAUUUCUGCAGCCAUUAACUCUGUAUGUAAGAUCUUGGGUGUUUUAUCUAUUUGUCAUAGAGUAUUAUGUAUAUAUAGUGUAUUGUUUCUAUGUUUUUAAACAUCUGCCAUAGGACAACAGAUUUAAAUUAGCAUUUAUGCUAACUCCGGCAUAUUUACAUUGAUGCGAUGCUUUUGCUGACAUGUCAAUUAUUGUGCAUUCUCCUAAUCAAAUAAAUAAAAAACAGUCCAAAGUUAUUAAGUUAACUUAAGAAAUGUUCAUUUUAGGACAGUCACCCCUUCAUAACAGCACUGUGUGUGUCUGUUUGUGUGUGCAUCCUGUUGUCUAUGUCUGCGGACGUAAAUUCAUCUUUUUCCCAGAUACCAGAGAAGACCUCUGUCUCUGUUCUGCAUCCACGUCCUCUGAGUAAUCACAGUCAUCUCUUAGUGUACUGUUGCUCCUGGACUAAGGCGUGUUUAUCUGCUUGUUGCAGGUCUCAGUUUCACUGUAAAUAGGAAGUUCUUCAAAGGCCUCACAUUGACUAUCAGCCAAUGUUAAAGAGUUACACAUCACACUGCAUUUAAGGCAGUGGUUCCCAAACUUUUUCUACCGGGCCCCCUUUGGCAGAUAAAAACACCUGACUGUACACAUCAACAUGUAAAUGAAAAAUAUGUGAAUGUACAAAAAAAACACCGUCUGUCACAAGCUACUGUUGUUUUUCCAAUUUACUUCAAUGAAACUUCAAACUUUUGGAGAUAAAACAACAGCACUACCUUUUUACCAUUUUUAAAAAUUCUGCAUUUCUGAAGAUGAACAGUUUGAAAACUUAGGGAACAUUUUUAAAAUAUAUUCUUUCAGAACUAAAAUAAGUCAGUGGCGAUGGUGCGCUUGUUUAGUGCCACAGAUCUUGGGUGCAGCUGUGAGACCGCCACUCUCAAUUCAUUUUCAGUGUCCAGGUCUUGAUGUAGUGUUGUAGUCGCCCUUGCGUUUUCCCAGAGGUCCGCUGAUGUUUACCAUGGUUAGCGGUGCGACACAACGUGCGUUACUUUUAUUUAGCCUUGUCGCGCCCCCCCCCCCCCCCCUGCAAUCAUGCCGCGCCCCGCCUUUGGGAACCACUGAUUUAAGGAGACUUUAAACGACAGGAAAGUCAAAUGAGAAGACUGCUGAACAGUUUAACUUCUUUUGCAGACUAAUCUGUUGGUUUGAGACACCUCUGCCUAAAAUGAAGGGGGUGUAUCAAGCUGCAGUAGACAGUCUGGGGUCUCGACUUUAUUCUUCAGAGACCGAAGAAAUGUUGGAAGAAGACAGCGAGGAAAUCUUAGAUGAAUCUUUCUCUCUCUAAACUGGACAGCUGAAUCUGUCAGAAACCACAGAGAACACACACAGAGAACCGCCUCCUGUAUGUUGUCGUUGGAGCCCGUUAGGUUAUUUGGCGUGAUGCAGACGCCAGAGGACAAAGAGGAAUCUUGGCGUUUGGGCAAAGUGUGUAAUUGAUGCUCGACAGACAAUACGAGAGCGAGGCGGGAAACUUGGGCGCGCGGGGAUGGUUUCCAGAUGACAAACAUUUGCUUUUAUCAUCCUCUGCUGUCAGCGAAUUUGCUGCAUCUCUGACGGUUCGGGGUUAGCGGGGUUAACAAGCUGCUCCACUUGACUUGAGAUCUAAGUCGAGACAGAUGCAUCCUGAUGUGUUGCGUUCAGGGUAGGUGACUCUGCAGAUCGUUGCGGAGCUCUCUGAAGCUUUGACGCAUGAGAUUUAUAUGUCAGAAGGAACCAAACAGAUAUAUGACCUAUCCAAGUAAACACAGAAGCUCUCCAUGUUAUAGUUCAAGUCAUUAAUUAUUCAGACAUACUCUUUGUGUGUCUUUAAUAAAACUAUAACUAAAGGUUAACUUCAGCAGGAUGCAUCAUCUCAUGCUCGCUGGCAUUUAGCCGCAUUAAAAGCUCAUUUUAUCUUCAUAAAACACAUGAUUGAAAAAUGACUUUUCCUCUCAGCCUCCAACCAGCAGACCUCCAUCACCUCCACCGCAGGGAACAAUAGACGGUAUCUCCCAUCGUCUCUUUUUCCUCAUCCAUAUUGAAUCUGCUUGGAUCAGCUUCUGGUGAGGAACCAUCAGGGUUAAUUAGCGCCGAAGUGAGAGGAGGAGGAGGAGGAGGAGGAGACGCUCUUCUUCUUCUUCUCUGUGUGAGAUAUCUUUAUUCAUGGGGGCUUAGCUUUGACUGGCAUGGCCUCAAGACAUCCCAACUUCUCUCCUCGGGAGGCCGGCCAGAUGUUAUUGAUAUUCACAAAUAGCUGGAAUUUGCAUCUUGAUGUUCCAGAAGGGAGGAGACCGAGUAGGCGGGAGGACUUGUGCUGCAUAAACAAAAUCAUGUUGUGGGUAGAGGUUUGCAUGUGUCAUCUUUAAAAUACAGACUCUGCUUUUCAUUUUUUAACUCGGUCCAUCAGUUUUAAUCGUCUAACUCUUGAUUUAGUCAGAGAAGAGCGACAUGUUUGAAAAGUUCAGACUUGGGCGCAGAAUCGACCCGUAAUUAAGACCUGUAAAAUGCUGAGACCUGAAUUUGGUGGUUUGCAAAUAAUCCAACAUUUAAUGCAAGUGGUGCAAAGACAACAUUCUGUAAAAGGUAAAGUCCAAGUCCGCAACCUGACCCUGAAUAGCGGUUGAAGAUGGAUGGAUGGAUUAAAGUCCGAGUCCAUCCUCUUCCCUCUGCUUAUCCAGGAUCUGGUUGCGGGGGCGGCGGUCUAUGUAAGUCCACCCAGACACCCUUUGACCCGACUCUUCCACUGGGAUCUGAGACAUUCCUAUGCGAGUCAGGCAGGAAAUAUAAUUUCUCUAACCCUAGAUCUCCUUCUGAUUGGACGUGCCCGGUAGACCUCGAAGGCUGAGCCCAGGUACCUUUUGCAGAAUACUUGUAUCCGCAACCUCACCUUACUUUACCUCACCGAGGCCAACUCUAGAGCCUGACCAGCAACGUUUUAGGGUUUUUUCUCCAUAAGAAACGAUGUGGAGCCACCACCCCCUGCAGGAACAUGCAUAGGGGUCAAGUGCACAGGAAGCAAAGGUCGUGGGAUCAGGUGUCCCGUUCUCCUGGUGACAAAAGUAAACAGACCAGCUGACCUGGCAGAGCUUUCUCCACCGCUCGAAGGAUGACCCAAUGUUUAUUCCAGUUAGAUUCCUUGCUUAGUCAUAUUUCCUCUUGCUUCCUCUUUUGGCGGUGGGGUAAGCAGAAGUAGGGUUUUUUUUGCGUCCUUCUCCAUCACAGCUCCUGUAGCUAAGAUGCUCCGAGGAGGGCUGGGAGAGUGGGAGGGGACGAGUCGAAACUACGAGAGAGGGGUGUGUCGAGUACAGCGAGGUGGCUGGAUAGAGAGGCAGAGCAGGAGAUUGACCAAUAGGAGCUGUUCGGGACAGAUGGCUCCCAUUGGUCAAUGUUUUUGCAGCUCUGCACCUGCUAGGGUGAACAGAUUCUUUCCGAUCUUUUUUCUCUUCACUGUGUGGAGAUCGCACUAUAGGACCAUGAUCGCCAUAGAACAAUUAUAAUGAACAAGGUUCAUUAUAAUUACCAAUCUGUCCAAUCGUCAACCAUGUCUUUAAACUUCAUUUUUAACAGUCCAGCUCUCCUUCAACAUCUCUUUCCUUCUGUUGGAUAUUUUGGGUCUGGUGGUUGGUGGUGGUGAUGAUGAUGCAGCGGUGGUCUGCAGAGCUUGUGUGGUGAAGAAUAGUCCAUUAUGCAUGUUUGCCGUCUCCACAGCCCAGCUUUCAUCGUCACAUUUGCUUUCUCUUAGCCCCGUUUGUUUUUGUUGUCUCUCUUGGCCGGGCAGAAAAUCCACAGUGUACGCAGCUGUGGACUGCGGUUGUAUGGAUGACGAAUAAUGAUCCACCAAACUGUACACAGAGGUUUUGCAGAGCAAUCGUCUUGAUGGAAACGAUGAGGAGAGGGAGAGGAACACACAGGAUGUCUAAUAAGCCAAACUCCCAGCUGAUCAGAGGCAGUCAUCCGGAUUAAUGAGCGAUGGAUUGACAAAGAGCUCCGUCUGGAUGCUGUAAUGUCAUCCCAAUCAGUGGCCUGGAAAGAAGAGCUCCAAGACAGGCAGGAGGAUAGAGAUAUUAUCUCUGAGUGUACCUGGGUUUGACUCAAGUUUAUUCCCACAGACGGCUCACCAUGAGGCCAAACCAUCAGGGACAGCACAGCCUGGUUAGCUGAUAAAGCGCUGUUAGAAACUGUCAAAACUAGAAGUGCAGAGGAUAUAUAAAGCCUAAACUGAUGGGAAAAUUAAUGACAAAGUUUAAAAUAAAGAUGAUAGAUAUUUAGAUGACAGGUUUGAUGUUCUUCAGAGUUUAAAAACGAUUCUUGCUAACUCGGUUUUUAAUUGUAAAGUCUGGAUUUGAGAUAAACUGGUUCAGUCUUCUCUGAGAUCUGCUGUAAACGUCACCCCGUCACUCCUUUCCUUCCACUUUUGUGACUUGACUAAUUCACCGACGUUAAAUCCAAGCUGAUCGAUUUCUCUAUGCUUGUGAUUGGAAGCCCUUUUCUUUUUAUUUUUAUCAUAAUUCAAAUGAAAAUAGAUUAACAGAUCUCUGUGGCCCAGGGAAUGUGCACAAUAGGUGUCCACACACCUCCAGAGCAUCCCCCCUUGAUACUGUGAAAAGUCAGAGAACCAUAAUUCUGACCGGGUGGCGGCGCUCUCUGUGGCCCAAAAGGUCUCACCGUGCUGGGCAGGAGCUCUGGAGCCUCCUGCUAACUAGAUUGUCACAUAGUUUAAACAAAGUUUUUAAGGUGAAGUAAAUUUGCACUUGCACAGUAUGGAUAGCAACAGGUGGACAUGAAAAUGAAAAAGAAAUUGCCCGUUUUCUUUCUUUUUUUAAUUGUGUCCACCUCGUCCUUUGGCGGCCACGAGGUCUCCUCCCGGUGGGACAUGUCUGGAACACCUCUAACGGGAGGCAUCCAGAAGGCGUCCUAACCAGAUGCCCGAGGAGGAGCAGCGGUUCUACUCUGAGCGCCUCCCGAGUGUCCGAGCUCCUUACCCUAUCUCUAAGGCUGAGCCCGGACACCCUGAGGAGGAAACCCAUUUCGGCCGCUUGUAUCUGCGAUCUUGUUCUUUCAGUCAUUACCCAAAGUUCAUGACCAUAGGUGAGGUAUCUGAGCUGUGAAAGGCCUGAUAGUCCCCAUAUUUACCAGUGCACACAGGAGAGGACUUUGCUGCUUGAAAAUGGACCUCCACCUUUGCAGGAAAAAUCUAAAGCCUGUCCUGAAUGAAAGCAGGAUGAGUUUAGAGAUUAGAUGUCUGUAAGUUCACUCAAAAUGGGAUAUCUGGUGUUUUUUAUCUCCUGGACAAAGAUGGCGGAUGAUCCUUUGACUUUCUCUGAUAACAGAGAUCACCUGAGAGCGUCCUCAGACCAUAACGAGGAUAAAGGGAGCGUGAAUAUGAAAAUGUGGCCUCCAGUCGACACCUUCACGCAGAGGUGCCCCCUUGACCUGCAUACCAACUCUUAAAAACACACACACAAAUACACACACACACCCCUUAGUGCAGCCCACCUCCCCGGGCUCUGAAACCCAAAGCAGCUGGUCAUCCAUCUGGGGCUCAUCAGUUGCCCUGGAGAGUAAAAGCAGGCCCCACUGUGGCAGCCCGGGCAUCCGUUCUGCAUUAUCACCACCACCACCGACCCCCCCACCCCCGUUUCCACUGCCAUGCUAGCACCCACUACCCCCCCCUCCACUGCAGACCCAAAGCCACAGCAAAGCGCCCUGUUUCGCUCCGUCCUUCAAACGAAAAGGCUCUCUGCGUAACUUUUCAUCCGAGCCGAAACUCUAAGAUGCAAAGCGUGCAAGAGCGCGAGCGUAAUGAGAGCGGCGGUUGACAUCAGGCGGGAUCCAUAGACAAAACACGGGGGGCCCGGAGUCUGUACGAGCGAUUAAUGAUAGUGAUCAUGUGUAAGUUUCCCUUUCUGGAGACGCUCAAUAAGACUGAACAUGAGAAUAUUCGAGUUUUGUUUUUGGAGAAAUGUGUUUUUGGAGCUGGUCAGAAGAUCUUACAGCAAACCAGAGACAGAGAGUUUCAGCUGGUCCACAACCAGAACCUUACUGUUAGAUGAAGAGGUUUUAUGGUUUUACUUACGGUUCCUCAAAACAGAGAGAGGAGCUUAUCCAGGUGUCUGCAAUCAGGGUGAGAUGUUUACUCGCACAAACACAAAAUAAGGACGCUUGAAAAAUAAUUUCAAGAAAUAAUCAAAACCAAGAUCCUCUCAUCCUCCUCAAAGUGUUUGGAAAGGUCCAGUAUUCCACAGUGGACUUCUUUCCUCUGUAACACUUUAAGAUCUUUUAUCUAAUUUGAUUUAAUUUAUGAGACAAACACAAAUUAACGUUCCAGCUGCAGGACCAGACAAAAAAUCGGACCCGUGGCUGCAAACCCAACAUGCACGGACUCUGUGCCCAUACAUACCUGUCUUUUAAGCGAACAUAAACAGUGCUGGAGCGCGGUGAGAGCUUUCAUUCCCGACAUGAAGCACCAAAAUAAAACCAAAACACAAGUCAGUGACCUGAGCUGGAAUUAAAUAAAGUCUAUAAUUUGUUAAGUGCCUAAAAAAGCCUGAAUUAUGAGUGAAAGUGCAUCUUUGAGCUGAUUAAACAAGAGGGCACACUGUUGGACCUUGGCAGCUGGCACCUGACGAUCAAUGAAGUGGGCUUUCAUUGAGUAAACAACUUCUAAUCAAAACACCCGAGUCUGAAACCGUGUGGAGGUUUUGGGUCCGGGGCUUGGCGGACUUCACCUCAUUGCAGGCCAGGAAUGUAUUCUCCCUUCUUAUUUUCUUGGUUCUGCAUGACUUCCUUUGAUAUACAGCCCAUCUGGAUGUCGAGGGAAAUACUCAAACACAAACCCAACUCCUACACAUGCCCGGAGUCAGAAACCACAUGUUCUGACGCUGCUGGACCUCCGCGGAAAGUAAGCUGUGCUAAUUGUUAGUGAUUGAGGGGUUAAAGACGAGAAGGGAGCUGGACACUUCUCAAAGCUCUUACUUUAAUUCCAGAACCAUAAAAAGCUUGAAAAAUGUUUUCAAAGAUGGAGACUCGAAGGAAAAAGCUCUAUGAGGAAGUUUAAUUUUCAGGGCCAUAAAUCACGCGGACUCUGGAGGAUAUAAAUAAUACUCGAUAUGUGCCUCUUUCAUAAAUUGUGGUUGUGGUCGUGUGGGGCUUAUUGGACCUGAUGGUGUUUACGGCCUCGGAUCGCUCCGGUUGUGUUGGCGCUGAGAAGAAAAAGAAACACCAAUUCAGGUGACCUCAGAUGUUCCUCAAACUGCAAAUCCAGAAAACGAAACUCUGGUGAAUCUUCUUAAAACCACUUAAAGGUGGUGUAGUCAGGAUCUGAGUUAGUUCCAGUUUUUAGGAGAAAUCUUAAAAAGUAAACUCUACCCCUCCAAACCAGUUUUCCCCUCAGCUCCUCCUCUCCCCUCAAGCCCCGCCCACAAACAGAUGCUCCUGCUCGCUCGUAUCGUUCCAGUUAAAUUCAGAUAUAAUGCAGAUAAAUACUUCAGAUCAUUACAAAUGGAGCCCAGUCAAGGUGAAAGUCAAAAGCAUUGGUGCUACUGUAGAUGCCAACAGACUACCAGCAAACACAAUGUUUGCAGGACUUCUACAACUAGGAUAAAGUCACAUAGUCCAGGACCCGAGGGAGGACAGUUUAGCGAUGGCGCUACAACACGCUACAGCAGGUCCGUUUGACAAGAAACACUUCUGUUACAGACACUUGUCUUACUUUGUUAAAGCGGUUUACCUGUCCAGCAGAAAGGUUACAGGGUCACCAAGAUCCCCAAGCGUCCCCCAUCGUUUAUGUUGACCCGGCUUUUUAGCUCUUGUCCGGUCUACCUCCGUUUUAAGCACCCGUUAUUCCUCCAGAGUCUCCGGUAUUUAUUGUAUUUUUCAAACUAUGAGGCGCACUUAAAAUCCUUAAAUUUUCUCAAAAAUCAGCAGCGCUCCUCGUAUAAUUACUUGUUGUGCUUACUGACCAGUUUCAUGUGGUACAAUGCGUUAAAAAAUCUGUCGAAAUGUGUAAGUACGAUUUAGGUAAGCGAUAAAGCUGCUCCGCUCUAUGGAUAUUCGGAGCAUUACGAUGACUGUUGUCUGAGCUGGAAUCAUCUCUGAACAGCCAAGUACCGCUAACACAAACAAGACUGACAUGGAUAAUGACGAGAGGGACCCGGGCGUGCUUGAUGCUAAAAUCGUACAGCUGUUUAACUCCGACACUCAAGAUGAAGAAUUUUAUUCGAUGGAUUUGUGGAAGAGGAAUGAAUCAAUAAGUGAGCGUUUUUUUCUGUACUGGAAUUUGUUGUUACAACUAAGUUAUAUAAAGUUUGAUUUAACGAAGUGUGGUGUUUUGCUUAAUGCGCCUUACAAUCAGGUGUGCCUUAUGGCCCGAAAAAUACGGUACUUUGUUUUGUUGCUUGUGUUUUCAGAACUUUCUGGUUGGUUUCUACUGUCCGAUGUUGUAGCACGCAAACUUGAUUUGAGGCAGCAUCUGCCUCACAACCAAUCAGGUCGGGGAGACGGAGAACGGCUUUGUUUACAGUCAGAGAGAGUAGGUGGCUCAAAAAAAUGUUCAAAUGUUGACGACACAGACAUAACAAAACAGAGAUAUCGUUAUAUUACCAAAUGUCAUCAAUAACUAAUAAUUAUUGACUGAUAUUAAAAGUUUUUUGGGGUUUUAAGCCAGAAGUGACCGGUCUGGUGGAGUCAGGUAGACCCCCAGACUCUUGAGUCUCUGAGUCUCAGUGUGUCACAGAAACUCAGAGUGGGUUUGUGGAGCCUGCUCCUGACCUGCAGCCGUCACCUCUCAGCUCUAAUGUCUGUAAAUGUGUCUGCUAGCCAUUAGAGGGGACUUGGCCUGGAGCAUCAGAGGUAUUAGGUAAUAGACGGGGAAUUUAUUUAGCACUUUUCCAAAAAGAGAUUCGUCCCAGGGUGAGUGACACAACGGCUUAUUGGCCUGGAGAAACUAUUGUGUUGCUGGAAGGUCAUUAGUUUAAAUCCCACAUCAGCCAUCUGUGAUAUCCAUCUCUGCACAGGAACAGAGCUGCAGCGGCUCGGAUACUCCGCUUUCUUCUGGGUAUUUACAGGAAAUUCAGAGAUCUUAAACCCAGGACCUCUUUUACUUUGCAUGCUCGGGGGUUUUAUUGUCGAACGGUUCAGAGAAGUCAUGGAGUUAGUCGUCUACUCUUACCCCUUACCCUUUAUUUUUUGUAUCGCACAGCUUUGGCAUUUUAAAAGGUGACAGAAGAAAACCCACAGAUUGUCUAACCAGUUCAUGCGGCAGUAGAUCAGGAACCCUUGUUGGUCUGAAGGGUAAAAGUCGUGUUUUGCUACAGAGAUACUCGCUCCCAUCUGUUGCUUCGAGCCGCUCCACUCUGAUAUUGGAGUGAACUCAGCCGGCUCGUCCUGCUCCUCUCCUUCAUUUCGCCUCUGAUGUAAAUUGUGUUUCUUGUUAUACUUCAGCAACACAAAUAAACUCGCCCGCUCCCGGCCUGAUUCAUCUCUCACACACGAGUGCUUGUUUUGUGGUUUUUCCAGGUUCGGCCAUGCACAAUUUAGACCCCGCACCAGUGAGAAAAAAGCAGAGCAAUAACAAAAACCUUCUCCUCUCCUUUAGUUUGCCUGACCUUUUCUCUUUUUCUUCGUUAUUUGGAGGGACUGCAGAUGCUUACAAAGCUGCUGCGUGUCUGAGUGAUUUUAAAACAGAAGACACACAAUAUUUACGCACAACCAGAGACGACAUGAGAGCUGGGUUUGCUCUGAGGAAGAGUGUUGGAUAAAUUAGAGUUUAAAAAAAGAUGCCCGUCUGUUUUCCUGUCAGGGCGACGAUGGCACCCCGUGAAGAAACUCGCUAAUGAAAUUUGCAGCUUCAGAAAACAAUUUUCACUUCUGAAAACGACUUGGACUGACAGCGUUUGAGGUCUCCAGAAACUGUUUUUCCCACAUUUUGAUGAAGAAAAAUUGGUUUAAUGUAAUUUACACUUGGCUCGUGUGCGUGUGUGUGUGUGUGUGUGUGUGUGUGUGUGUGUGUGUGUGUGUGUGUGUGUGUGUGUGUGUGUGUAUGUGUGUGUGUUUUUGACAAGUGAGUGAUAAUUCGGAGCUUCUUGUUACUCAAAAACAUGAAGAAGAAAGAAGUCAGGCAGCACAAGCGUUAUUGGGGUUUUUAUAUUUGUUUUUUAUGUUAUUUUGACUUUAUUUUGACUCUGAAACCUACUUGCCAUGGUAAACUACUUUUAUACAGCUCAGUUUCUCUUUUACUCUUUCUAAACUUUGAUUUGAUCACCCUGUAGUGAAAGACUGAUUUCAAAUCUCUCAUUUUGAUGUAAAAUUUAUUAUAAAAAAGUCGUUUUUAAUUCAGUUUAAAACCUUUUUGGACUCAAACACAAAAUCAGAAAUGCUGGAAAACAUCAAACCCACGCCACGGUUACCUCCUGACCUGAGAGCUGUUUUCGAUCAACACUUUAUUUUAAAUAGAUUAAGAAUAAGAAUGACUUUAUUUAUCCCUGAAGGGAAAUUCACUCGUCUGUGGUCUCAUUUGUCAUGUCUAAAACGUCAUCUACUAUUUAUAAAUAUUAAGUAUAUUGAGUCAGCAUGUUGGCCUGUCUGGACUUCUUUUAAACUGGUUUCUCUCAACGUUGUGAGGUGACCUGUGGGGUACCUCAGGGAUCAAUUUUAGGACCUUUACUUUUUCAUUUUAUGGCCGGUUUUAUCAGGAGACUCUACGGUUACACUGACGACACUCAGAUUUAUGUUUCUUUUUGAUUUUAAAGCUCGUUUACUCGUAUAUGAGGCACCGCAUGGCCUUGCUCCAGACUACGUCUCAGAGAGGUCUUUAGUUAAUGAACCAGGACGUCCUCUCAGAUCUUACAGCUAAUGUCUUUAAACUUCUCCACAGCGCAGAACUGUUAUCAAGACUUUUCCGUUUUAAUUACUUUUAACUAAAAAUAUUUUGUUAUUUUUGGAUCUCUAUCUGACUUUUUACUCUUUCUUCUCAUGCUUUAAUUGCAUGUAUUUUAUUGCUACCGGCAUGUUGUCCCCACUACUGAAUCUAUUUCUUUUUUUGUCAGUUUGUGUUUCAUUUUUCAUUUUUAUUUUCAUCCUAUUUUCAUGGUUUUUGAAUCACGGUCAAGUUCCUUAAACUGCUUUUAAUUUGUAUGAAAGGUGCGACAUAAAUAAACCUUUGAUUGCUAUAAAGAGCAGCUUUACUCGUGAAUGUUUCAGAGAAAAAUCACAGACACUCUUUGAUCAAGCAUUUUGAUUGAAAGACAAAAACUAAGGACGGUAAUUUGAUCAUAAUCAGUCAGUUUUUUAAAGCAUUUUACUUAUUUAUCUUUAUUUUUUGGCCAAGCCUUUUUUAAAUCUUGUUUUUCAUGAUCAAAAAAUGUUUUCUUGGACAAUAACCUUGGUCAGUCCCGGGCGGAUGUCAUUCUUACAGGGAGAGACCACCAACACGAUACGAAGGUCAGGGAAAGACAUCCUACUCACAUGAGGUGGUGAAUUGUUUAUGUGGGACAUUAAAAAUGACUUUAGAGAAAAGGCUGGGCCUCUGCAUGAAGACUUCAUCAUCCAUCAUGUUCUGAGCGAUGAUCUUCAGAGGAGAAACCGUCCCAGAAUAAAUAGAUUCAAAGAAGAGAGGAGUUUGGCAGGAGACGGAUGUGGUUAGGAAAGCACAAAACUCCUCUCUCCUCGUUCUCUAUAUCUCUAUCUCUCUUCUCUUCCUCCCUCUCUCUUUCUCUCCGUUCACCCUCCUCGCUUCAGACGUUGAUUUAUGACUGCACGCAGUGUGCUUCCUCCUCUGAAAUUGGCUGGAUAUGUAUGUCAAACAGCACAAUUAGACGAGCGUGACCUUAACUGUCUGUGACCUGAACGUCCUAAAUGCAGCGUGCAGUUGUGUUCUGUUUGACCUGUUUGGAAAUUAAAUUCAGGGUGGCUGAGUCAAACAGCAUUACUCCAUUGUGCUGCCUGUAUAUGCAGAAAGGCCACAGGGUACCUCUGAGGUGACGGCGCGGGUUUUUAUAAAGGAGCGAAUUAUAAGAGUUUAAUGCGUCUCAAAAGGGGAAUUAUGCAAAGUUUGUUUGGAUCAGAGUCGGUUUGUUGAAAGCUUUUGCAUGCAGUUAAACAGUCGUAUUCAUGUUUAAAUGCACAAAAGUAAAAACAACAUUUUAAGUUCAUGGAAACAUGGACCAGCUAAAGAGUCCCAUACUGAAGGUGAACCAAACAUGAGUCUGGUUCUGCUCAGGGUUUCUGCCUUUGAGAUAUUUCACGAAAGUUCUGGAAUCCUCUAACUCGUCAGUAAACAGAGCUGACAUGGUUAAUGCGUUCUGGUUUUACCCGGAGCAGCCUCGACCGCGGUGACCCGGCUGGUGUCAUGUUUACGCCCUCGUCACUCCUCGCUGCCUCUUUAUAGGACUCUGAGACUCUCCAGACUUUAUCGCCGCUCUUUAAUUCCACAUCAGAGUUAACGGCUCCUUCCUUAAUCUUCCUAGAGGACAGUCGGCCAUCUUGUUUGUGCUUGACUUUGGAGAUGUCCUUUAUACCUGUCUCUACCUGUCUCUACCUGCACUUCAUCACCGAGAUAAAUAUUAUACAGCUGUGUCUGUUUUUUCUGUCUGUCCUUUAAACUGAAGUAUAUCUCUGAAUUCAUUUAUCAAUCAAAUAAAGAAAAAACGUGUUUAUUUCUGCUGUAAAGAUGGACAUUUUCAAGGUGCCUGCAGUUUUCAGCUUGAUUUGGUUUCUUAAGUCUGUUUUUUUUGUUUGUUUGUUUGAUGUUUGCAUCUGCUGUGUCGAUCAAGCUAGUUCUAGUACUAGCCUAGCUUAGCAUCAGCUCCCUCUCCAGUUUGUGUUGGUGCUAAAUGAGGCUACAGCCAGCCUCUAGUGGACACUUGAGGAACUGCAGUUUUCAGCUUUAUUCGACUUUUUAAGUCCGUUUUUUUGUUUGUUUGUUUGUUUGAUGUUUUCAUCUACUGUGUCGAUCAAGCUAGUUCUUACACUAGCCUAGUUUUUGUGAAAUUAAAUAAGUGGUUUAUGUUGUAAUGUCCAAUGUCUAACUGUGAACACGCUGCUAUGGUGUUUGUAGAGUAAAAUACUGUGUUAUGUGUUGUUUACAACUGCAGCUGACAACCGCUAACGACAACUAACAAGUGUUAACAACGGCUGACUGUAGGCGUCCAUCCAACUUGUUUACUGGAACGCCGUCAACUCGGGUGUAUAUAGUAUUUAUUACCCAGCAUGCAAAAGUUCAUGAAACUGACAUAUCUACAAUAAAAGUUUAACAGAAGAGAACUUACGCCCCCCUCGUCGUAAAGCUGCAGAACUUAAUGUUCUUUAACUAGAUGUCACUCGUCUCCCGUAUGCAGCUUCAUUACAGUGACAUGAGUUCACACGGAGGUGAGUGGUGGGCGGGCUGAGGAGCGCGGGGACCUCACUGAGCGCUCCGUGUCUCCUCACGCUGCAUGUCACCGUGAGUGGAGGAGCGGCGGCAGAGCGGAUUAGAGGAUGGAGGAAAAGAGAAAACAAAGAAAAUAGCUUUUUAUGCUAAUACGGAGAGAUAGAGGAUAGACCCUGAUGAUGGUGUUUGUUUGACCCUGAUGGAGAAAAACAGAGCGGCGGCUUAAAUGAGCACGCUCACGGAAACAUGUGACACUCUGAUAAUAGACCUUAUUACAUACAGAAGGACUUUUUUAUCCUCCUGUAUUUUUCUUUUCUAAAAAUCUGUCCAGAAUUCACAAUGAUUCGGAUUCGGAAACAAAAUCAUUUGCAUCUACUUUAAUGAAGACAUGCAGACAGAUUUAAUCAGCGUAGAUAAGCUCCUCCUCCUCCUCACUCUUGGUCAUUUUCCACUCCUUCACUCCGCAGAGCUUUUUUUGGGAUUUAUUCUUCUCCUCUUCGGUUUGGGAGUCCACAUCCAAAACCGUUCCAUUUGGAGGGCUAGAUGAACACAAUCUCUCAAUCCCUGGAAGGACUGGGACACUUGAGCAUCAGAGGGAGCGUGAAAAACCGAGGAGCACGGCCAAGUGGGGAACUGGGAUGCAGCCUAAGAUUGUGGACUUAAUAGUUGGGAAGCUGAGUGGUUUCCAUUGGCACCGGGUCCUGGCAGGACUCGGGGCUCUUUCAGGGCUUCAUACGUUGCUUAAUGAUCGAACACAUGCACACAUUACCGAGUCAAAGAGCUCCACUGGCAGGUUUUUGUGAUUAAACGGAGGAAAUAUUUCUAAAUUUAGAUCUUUUUUUUGAAGAAAGGCUCUCCGUCUUAGAUCCAGAAUCCAGGAUCUGCUGCUUUCCGGCCCAUUUCCAGACUGUGAGCGCACACAGAACUCCUCAGACGGUAUUUCAUGAAGGAUUAGGACCUGUGCAGCCCCAGGUGAUGUCAAACAGAAACACAUAUACCUGUGGAAACUUUGCGUGUGUUUUUGUAAGUUUAAAUAGGAAACAAGUCAGCAGAAGAUGGACAUUAGAUAAUUUUUAUAGGAAUUAAGUCUCAUUUUUCACUUUUAAAUCAGUGUUGGAAACAUUACAGAUGAAGGCAAAGUGCUGGCAGAGUGAAAGAUGUAACAUGAACACCAUAUGCUGCAACAUAUGGGGAAUGAAAAUGCAAAACUUCUCAUUAUAAAGAAGUGUGCGGGUCCGAAACGAGCAGUGUUGGGUUUAAAAUGAGCAGCCGAGAGCACCACAAACACUCUUCAUGGAGGAAAAAUAAAAAUAUAUAUUUUAACAUAAACUGAGUUUUAACCAGAGGAACAAACAGAUGAUUGUUUCAAAUAUUUAUAUAAUUCUGAUUAAAAUUAAAGACCAGGGUUUGAAAUGUCUGAUGCAAAGCUAAAGUGCAUGUUUCAUAUUUAUGUUAUCCAAAAUAAAACAAACAUUUAAUAACAAUAAUAAUCCUAAUAUCAUAAUAAUACAUUUUAUUUGUAGGCGCCUUUCGGGGCACUCAAGGACACCUUACAGGACAAUUAAAAGACACAUCAGCAGGACAGUAAAAUCAAUUAAGUGUUUGGCGCUGCCGCUGCUUCCUGCUUGCUCCUGUCAGCGGUCGUCGUCCUUUUUUGGCGAACAAAAAAACCUCUUAUAUUCAUUUUUAAUAGAAUGCCAAUGCCUACCGCCGAGUCCGCCUUCCGCCGUGUUCAGUCCGUCUAUGAAUAUUUGACCUUUGACUCUGUAAGCGGCCCGCCCCCCUUUACCUGUAAUUCGUUAAGAUGUUGCCAUCAAUCGAGUUGGUUGGUUGGAUUGAUUGACGUGUCAAGAUAGAUGGGAUUGACUUAAGAUGACUGCUCUGACGGAAAAAAACAAACCCCAAAUCAAAUUAAGAGAAAAUGUUGCUUUUAGUCCAGGGUGGGCACAUCUGACUUGUUAGGCGGGCACAGCCCCCAUUUCCCGUCCAUGCCGCCGGGCCUGGUUCAGAGAGGUAUGGAGGAGUGAGGUUGUGGACGGCCUUGAAUGUGUGGAGCAGAAUUUUAUAGUCCAAGUGGUAUUUUAUGAGAGAACAGGCGUGAUGUGACUGAUAGAUGGUGUUCUGGUGAUGAUGCAGGCGGCGGCGUUCUGGACCAGUUGUCUCUAAUCCACACCGAAACAAGCGCCUCAAUUCUUAUGGCUGUGUGUGUGUGUGUGUGUGUGUUUGUGUGUGUGUGUUUUCCCCCUUUUGUCUCUCCAGAGCUGCCCAGGUGAAAUCACUUAGUGACAAUCAGACUCACCUGGUGCUGAGACCUUAAAGAGCUGCAGUCUGCAGAGGCGUUUGGUGGAGAACUGCUACUGCCUCUCAGUGUUCAGUUAAUCUGUUCUUUUUUUAAUCACAAUAAAUCACUUAUUAAACUUUUGAAGAUAUUUUGUGACUUUAAUGGGUCAAAUGUGAGGAUAGUUGUUGUGGCGCCUUCAGGUGGGGCGUAAUCUUCAGUCACUCCAGGUCAGCUGGUUUUAACUGAGCGGUCCCACUCUGACAUGUCGCCAUCAUAUUCAAACAAACACACUUCCUGUGUUUUCCCUCUGCUGCUGUGUUUUUAUUUUAAUCCCUCGGCGCCGUACGGACGGCUGCCUCUGAUAUUGAUAACGGCGUCCUCACUGUGACUGAUUGGAGCUCCACCAGCAGUCAAAUGAACUGCAGCCUCUGUUAUAACACACGGAGACAGAUAAAACGGCGCGGUGACGGCGUCGCAUUAGGACAGUCCUCUGCCAUUAACGCCGUCACAGCGUGAGCAUCUGGAGGAGGGGCGCAGGUUGCCACCGCCGCCGCGGCUGCGCUGGUCGGCAUGCGGAGGCCGGUGGGAUCACCCACAUCUCUCCCAGUCAGCGCGGAUCAGUCUCCACGAGCUGAUCAAAGGCGUUUGACUCCCGCCACACAGGGCGCUGAUUGCUUCCAUGCACUCGCUGACACCACUUGGUGUCUUGGCGGAGGACACCACCCUAAUUAAAACGGAGGGAAACAAAACUGCUCUCCCAUUUUCUUUGUUCACAUCUUUCUCUAUAUUCGCUCUCUGAACUCUGAUCGACCAGAAACAGAGAAAUAAAUGUUAAAAUAAAGGUUUCAUGUUUAUAGGAAUCGUGAAAAUCAAGUCACAUCAUCAUGUCGAUUCGCCAUAACCACAGUGUUAAGUGUUAGAAAAAUACAAAUCAGAAUCUCCUAACAACUAUUCCAAAAAUAGACCAUUUUGAGGACUAAAUCCUGUAUCUGUUGAGUCUGUUUUUAAAACCAUCAUAUCUGGAGUAACUUUCAGUCGUUUGACUCGUUGACAGGCUGCUUCAUCCUCAUGUAUUUAGGACAUUUUCAGGACCGCCUCACGCACAUUUCCAGCCUCACACCUUCAGACGUGUCUCUCUCUGACACCGUGUUUGUCAGCUGCUUAGACUCACUCGGUGUUUUGUUAACGUGUCCUACUUUCGUGUAACUUUGUUCACCCUGUCGCUCUGUCCUUCCUCCCCUGGCGGUGGUGAGUGACGGCUGGCCUCGGUCACGACAGGUGGACUAUUUACCGCUUAAAGUUGCCGUAAUGUGAAUAUUUAACGAUAUCUGGAGGUCGUGAUCUCGGCUGAAACGCCCCCUUGCUCACCCCUGCUGUAAGAGUGACGAUGGCCUUUAAGGACAAGAAGCUCAGAUCCUCCAUUUGUCAUGUUUUCAAGUAGAUGUCACCUAUUUGGGUCAUGAAUACACAAACAGUUCUUAAAACUCUGUCAGUGUUUAAAACAGCAGAGUGGAGAGUUUGUUCUUUUUUAGCAUAUUUUGUCAUCAACUCCUGGCUUUGUUUACUUGGACGAUCUUUGGCGAAAAUGAUCUUGUGUAUAAGCAGAGAGAUUUGGUUUGAAUUUUGACCAUGACAGUAAAAAAUCGAGGAUGCUGCAAAAGGCUCUGGAUUCUCAGAGUAGAAACUAGGAUGACGUCCUCCACCACAUCCAGAACGGCUACGAAAAGGCCGUAUCCGCCAAUCGUAGCUGAUCGUAACCAUUCAAGUUAACGUGUCAAUUUCCACUGGCAGAUCACAAGAGUGCUAUUUAUUCUGGACGCUGGAAAGGAAGUCGGGCACAGACACAAAAUAAAACAUCCGGCUUCUUUUCAAAAUAAAACACUCCGUGUUUCAGGAGGAUCGUAUUUCACACCAUGCAAACGGGCGGAGACGAACAAGUGAAAGGUUUUUAGACGUCAUUUCACCCCGAUGACACCAUGGAUGAGGAGAUGCUGAUUCUAGAAGUCUAGAAGUAGAUUUCCUCCUCUGGUAGGACACAAUCUACUGCUUAUAUGUCUAUGUGUCUGUCUUUAUAGAGACAACUCAUUAUUGAGCAAUUGAACGUAAUUCUGCAGGUUCCUUUGAGUUCUCGUGUUUACUGCUUGGUGGACAGCAAAAAUCGCAGCUGUUCUGGAUGCGGUAGAAACACCGGGUUAGAAGCGUAUAAAAAACACUCGACCCGACCUCAAAACCUCUCAAAAAUUACGUGCGACUCUGUGACUCCACCCCUGAGUAGUAGCGUCCACUUUUCGGGGAUUCAGAAUAUGGUCACCUGAGCAGAAAUGUUCUGCAGUUUGAGAAACUGGCGAUUUUAGCGCUCCUGCAUCAGCUUCAUUUCUUCUUUUUUAAUUAUUCAGAUCGAUUUAAAUGAGAGUUUGCAUCAACUUCCUAUUCUUACCUGUGUAACACGACCUCUUAAACCGUCUAAACUUCCUUUUGUUUUGGACCGAUCACGUACUUAGCCACCUCGCCAUCUCUGCAGCUCCCACGCUGUUAUUCUCGGAGGAACUUGAGGAGGAUGGUUGUAGCUACAAAUGUUCCCUCCCCGGCAGAGCCAUGAGCGUGAUGUUAAUGGCGGCUCAGUCCAUUUUGGCAGCAGGCGCCUGGAUAAUGUAGAAGUGGAUCCACAUCAGUGAGCCGCGCUGAUGGUCUGAGCGAGGCAGUGCAGCUACACUUCUUUUCCCCCCCGAGAGCUGAAGUUUAUCAAAUUUCUAUUUAAAAUUCCAAUAAGCACUAAAACGAGGGGGCGGGGAGGGAUCCCGGGACUUGGCUCCUGCGUGGGCCCGCUCAGGUAACCAGACUCUUUGUUGGUCGCUAAGCAGGAGGGAUCGAUAUCAUAUCAGGGCCCGGCGGAACACCUGACAGUUCAAUUUCACAGCGAGCCCCGAAAUCAAUACCUUUGGAAUAGUUUUGGACUUUCCCAAAGGCUGCCCACCGGAGUUAAUCUAUGGUGUCAUUAGCCCGGGUCACGGCGCCCACGGUCAUUACUCUGUGUAACAAUAAAUGUUCAUAAAAGACGACACGCUCCGUCCUCUUGUGCUUGACUGCAGUCUCUAAUUGAAGUAAAUUCAUUCACGAGGGAGAGCGGGGGCUGAUCGACUGCUCGGGCCGCUCCUCUUUUGUAAUCCACGUCCAAGAAAGUACGGGAGGAGACGGCGGCGUGUCAGGCCUAUCCAGAGGGUACAAAGCAGAGGAAAUUGAACAAGGUUUUAUCAAGCAGAAAAUGUGUUAAAGUGUUUAGUUUGUGCCGUAGGGAAGGAUUGUUUACCCUUGAAACAAAGUGGUGUUUAUUUUUUUUCAGGACCUUCACACACACACGGCACUUAAGGACGGAGGUUUAGAGUCACAAAGGGAGGAAGAGCCAUAAACAUCCAUCUUGUUCUUCACUUAUUUGCUCAUUUUUCCAGAGCCAACAGUAUUACACGACACUGACCAUCAAUAACGGAGGUAGAUUACAGCAAUAAUCACUAAAACACAAUAAGUCAAGACAGGGGAAAUAAUUAAAGCCGUUUUGAUUUUAGCGGCUCAACAAAAUCUCUUAUACACGAGUUAAACUCGCCACAUAAAUCAGCGCCAGCGCCUCUUUAAUGUCUAAAGAAAGAGAACAGGGUUCGGAUAGAAAAGCCUUCGUCCUGUUUGCUGAAGCCCAGCUGGAACAGCCUGUCAAAAUAAACCACGGAAACCCGCUGGAAAAAUGACACAAGCAGCCCCGGGCUCAGAGUGGCACGGUGGUUUUGGCCCGAACCCACUCCGAACUGGAAUCUAUUUUCCCUCUGUGGAUGUGACGGGUGGGCAAAGGACCGGGGGGCGGGACAGGAAAUGACCGAGGAGGAGAGUAAUGGCGGAUAGUUUCUGGAUCUGCUGAGAGAUUGCCAAGGUCAGGAGUGAAGGCUAAAGGGCGAUUCUGGAGUUUUUUAAAACUAGGACGUUUCUGUGAACAUGACCAUCUCUAACAUACAACAUCCUGUGUCUCUAAAAUGCUUUCUCCUUUGUCAUUGGGUGAACUGGAAGUACAUGCAGACCCGCCAUGUGGCGUUCCUCUUAUCCCAUGAUCCUUAUUGAGGCUUAAACAAAAGAUUACAUUUUAUUUGACUAGGACAUGAGGAGAGGAUGCAAGGGAAGGAUGCAAGGAAAGGAAACUGAGCCGUAGCUAAUCUUUACCAUGUACUACAUGUCUUACUGGAGGAGGGCGAACCAGUCAGCUCAGGAUAAUGACUGGGCUUUCUUUCUUUCUUUCUGUCUGUCUUUUUUCUUCUGUCUGUCUUUCUUUCUUGCUUAUCAAUUUCUGUCUUUUCUUUAUUUCGGUCUUUCUUUCUUUUUUCAGUUUUUCUUUCUUUAUUUCCGUCUUUCCUUCUUUCUUUCUGUGUCUUUCUUUUUAUUUAUUUAUUUAUUUCUGUCUUUCUUUCUCUUCUUUUCUUUCUCUUUCUUCUUUCUUUCCAUUUUCUUCCUUUCUUUAUUUAUUUAUCUCAAACUGUAAGAACAACAGCAAAAAAAAUAAACUAGAAACAAAAGCAAAAAAAAUAAACUAGAAACAAAAACACUGAACAAAAUAUCACAUAUGUUCACCAAACAUCUGUGCAUGUCAAAGAUAAAUUUGCACAACACACGUUUGUCAAAAAUAAACAGUUUGAGAAGAAACAGAAUGAAGCACAGAACAGUAUCCCUAACAUACAAAACAAUAUCUUUGCAUCACAUAAUAACUUUACAAAGUUCAUCCUCAGGGAGUCGUUGUCAAAAAAAGGUCUGUUUUCUGCAGGAAUCCCGUCUGUAACUCUGUCAGUCUUUAAAAACAUUAAUCUGAGGUCACAGGUCAUGAAAAAGACGACUUUUAGUUGAUGUUUGUUGCCCCUCACCUUUGUAGCUGUUAAAGAAAAGUACGUUUUAAGACUUUUAGACCCAAUUUAUGUAGAAAAGUGAAGCCCUGCUUGGAUCUCCUUAUCUGAGCCUCUUCAUUAGUGAAAACUUGACAUUUACCUUUUAACUAAGAUCACCCCCUCAUGACUGAACCACAGUAAACACACAGAUAUGAGCUCAGUGAGUGAGGCCAUGACUAAACCUGAAGGAUCGUCUCUGCAAGCUCUGAGCUGUGGUCACUAACAGGACUCUCUGUGCAGCAGGCAGAACCGAUUUGGAAAUCAUGGUUUUUCAGAGAUAUCUGAAACCGGCUAUUUUCAGGGAAAAAUGUGGAGCUUCGACUGACAAGAGGCAUCAUUUCUGGGACUCUGGCCCCCAUGCAGAUAUUCACACUCUUCCUUUCCAUGCCUCAGCUUAUAUCCCCGCUGUAUAAUUUACAGUAUGGCUGGAAGCAGAGGUCCAACAUCGUCAAUUUUCCUCCUGACACUCAGACUUAAGUGUUCAUUUAGAGGCUGCAGGGAGAAUGAAACUAUUCCAGGAGUUUAAGAGGUUAGAGUUUGUGGGGAUUGAAGCAGGAAAACAACUUUGAGCUUUUUCAUUUUUUUAUUAUUAACAUGUUAAAUAGGAAGAUUGUCUCAGAUCAGCUGUCAAGACGUGUAGACACCUCUUAAAUUUGCGGUAAUAACUGAUGUGAUUUAAUCCGGAUCUGUUCAAACCUCAGAAAGACUGUAAAGGGAGAGUUUGGUCGGAGUUAGCAAGUGGAUAACCCACAGGAGAUCCUGGUCAGCUUGGCCGGUUUGGUGAAAAACCAUCUGGAGAAUAGGAUCAGAAGUUAGACCAUCAUUCACUGCAGAUGGAGUCAUUCUUGGUGUUAGUCCUCGCUCUGUUCGGACAUUUUUCAGCGUCGCUUUGCUGCCAGAAGCUCGUUUGUUUUGCACAGUUUGCAGAUGCAUGUUCUUCGGCUUGCAGCUCAGGAGAGAUCCCGGGUUACCUGGUGGUGCAGGUGUGUAAACUGUGAACCCAGAGAGUGGGACUUUAUAACAACAACACUUCAGGACCUUUCAGAGACCAGCAGGAGCAGCUGCGCUCUGAAUCCUACAUACCGAAGUUUGCAUCAAGACAGAGAAAACUUUUAAUUUAUAUCCGCAGAUGAUCCAGAAGACUCGACUACCUAUAAGACUCUCAGCAGCAGCAGGGCCCCACCGCAGAGCUUCACAGGAGGGCCGCUGUGUAAUGACCGUCGGUGCAGAAACAUGAGUCAGGAGGAAGGGAUGAACGCUGAACAAAUAAACCUCCAGGACUGAACCUUGGAAAUAAAAGGCAGCUGGGGACAGUAAAAUACAGAAGGAAGGCCGAACCUGAGGCUGCUGCUGCUGCUGCUGCUGCGUUUUUUCACGCUCCUAAAAUUAACAGUGUUUAGUCUGCAGGAGGAACACAUUUUAGAGACACUGGAGGCUCUCACAGUCAGUUUACACCCUCAGAAAUUAAAACACACGAUGAAAUGUUCAGUCUAGUCCUUAAAGAUUUAAAAAUAUAAAUUUAAGAAACAGCAGUAAUUUUUUUCAAUGUUUCUGGAGGUCCAAAAAUGAUCUCAAGGUCGAAAACAAGAUAAAACGUGCUAACAUCGGCAAAGUCUGAGAUUUAAUGUGCCGAAUAAUUAAACCUGCAGACUCUGUUGUAUCCAGAAUUUUGAGUUUUUAGACAUAAAAACAGAAAAACUCAGAAAGUGAUAAAUGAACACAGAGUUAAACUGUAAGUUUCAGUCUUCAGAGCUGACGUUAACACAGACGUGUAUUUCUGCAGUUAAAGUCAAACUCUUCACUUCUUUAUUAAAAGGGUUCAUGACUGUGUGUAAAAUAUAAAACAGAAUUAUUAGACGAGAUAAAAAUGGCAGAAAAUUAUGUUUUUAUUUUGUAUUAAUGUAGAAAUUUCACCAGACUCUGAAUUCUCUUCUUGUUUUUCUUCUCACACUAAUUGGACUGACAAUCUUUUCCUAUUCACUCGUGUUUUUGGUAAAUUAGUCUUUUCUUCUUCUUCCUGCUCCUUUUCAGAAAUGAAAUUAUUAAUUUGUUUUCUUCUAAUUCUUUUUUAAAAUAAUACUUCAGCCAUGACCAGAAUAAAUGCAGUUUAAUCAGAUUUGGAUCUGUUGAUGAGGAAAAUUAAAAAAAAAAUCAAUUUUAUACCAAAAUACCUGAUUUCUUUAUAACUCUAGUUUCCACUUUAACAAAGGACAACGUUCGAUAAGUUUGAAGGAGAUAGAGGAAGUGUCGGAUUAAAAAAGGAAACUGUUGUUGAAAUAUUUCAAGGACACUUUUACACUUAUUGUCAUUUUUCAUCCUGUCAGUCUGGGACUGAUUUGGAGAAACUCUCCAUGAUUUACAUCUUAAAAAAAUCUCCUCGUUUACCAAAAACUGUAGUUUAAUAAAAGUCUCACUGCAGCAGCUUCAGUCAGAGUCUGUCUGAAACACGUCACUUUAGUUUAGCUGCUUUUAGACACAGCCUGAGGGUGUUACUUUUUACACAGCUCUGAAAGAUUGUGUGUUAUAACAUUGAAGGGGCUUAAAAAAAGGGAGUCUCCAAAUUCACUUGUAAACAGUGUUAGAGACCCUGUUUGAUAAUUUACACUCUUCAGUAAAUUCAAGUUGGAUAUCUACUUUUUUUAGCAGCUUUGUUACCACAAAAAUAAUCGCAAGGAGAAGAUAAGCAACAUAUUAGCCUUCAAUUAAACCAAAACUGUUGCUGCUGUCAUGAUGUUUCCUCCAGUUUCUGUUUUUUCAGGUUUAAGGUCCUUUUGUGUGAUUAUUUCGGACGUCAAUAUAUUUUUUCGAACCCAUAUCCUGUCAAUUCAAGUGUUCACAUCAGCGACAUUCUCCCGUCCUGUGAUAUUCCGGCAUUUAUUUUUUCAGAUCGAAUUUUCUAAAGUUUCACAUACUGUGUGUCCACUUCUGACCAAUCAGAUUGCGUGUUGUUGCGACGUCAGAUUUAACCGGUAUAUCCAACAUGGCCGACCGGCUGAUUGUUUACGUGUCGGAGAACAGAGUGAUUUUUGAUAAAAGACACAAACAUUACAAAGAUAACGACCUGAAGGACGACUUGUGGAGAGUCAUAGUGUCAGAUUUCUCAUCUGACGAUGGUUUGUGAGCCUUAACAGUUUGAUAAACGUCUUUGUUUUAAACUUUUUUUAGCUCGUAAGCUAACCUGUUCAGAUACAACAUACAACGUAUAUUUGCGUCGUUCCCGGUGUGUAAGGACCUUUAGAGACCUGGUUUUAUACGUUUCACUAUUCUGUAAAUCAGUGUGGGACAUCUACUCUUUUAACGGCUUUGUAACCAGAAAAAACAGCCUAUUCUGAGGAGAUUAGCACCAUGUUAGCCUCCAAUUAAAUCCAAACCCAAAGUUUGUGUCUCUGAGCUUCAUGAGGGUCUUAAGGUCCAGGUUUCAGGUUCCCGGUCUAGUUCAGUCCUGUCGUUGGGUUGAGUUGAAUCUUGCAGAUACCUUGAGCUGUUUCUAAAUUGCGGCGGACAGACGUCAAUGUUCCCUGACAUUUUAUAGACAGAAUGACUAAUGAGAAAAUAAUUGACAGAUUGAUCGAUCAGCAUGUUAGGAACCAGAGCUGGUUGGUUCUGGGUCUGAAGGUGGAGUUCAGAGUUCUGCAGAGCUGUUGGUGUUGCUGAUGUUGGAUGACGGCGUUCUCCACAUGGACGUUUCAGCUCCUGAGACACUGAGGGAGUCGCUGGAUCCCAGAUUCUUUCUUCCACGGGUCAGGGUAGUUAAUGUUUACAUCAGACGUCCCUCUGCUGCUGUAAGCCUGCAGAGUCCAGUAUACUGAUCCGCCACGGGGGGACGGAGAUCCAGGAAGUGACCAAAGGGCUCGGCUAUCAAAUGUUUCACUGAGGGUUGUUUCUUCAGCUCAGCGAAGGUGCGGACAGCCACCCACCAGAUGUUUGUUUUAUCCUGCUGGGAACCCGAUCCAGUAAAUCCUUUUUUUUUUAAGUAGUUCAGAAUAAGAUCGGUCCGUUUCAAAAUAAGAGACGGACUGACAGAAAGAAAGAAUCUCUUAUUAUCUGAUUAUUCCUCUGUGUUCAGUUGUUUUUAUUCCAGAGAAAUCUGCAUCGUUGACUUUAAAAAUCAGAUUUUUUUGACCAUUUUCUUUUUGCAAAUCAUUUUGUUUCCCCCUGACUUUGAUUUCUCUUUUGUUUGGGGUCCAAUUAUUGUGUUUGCCGGUCGCUGUGACAGAGUCAGUGGGUGGCGGCGAGGAGUUUUGUCUCCACCAUCUUUUGGAAAAGCACCGUUUCGUUGUGAUCAUUUCAGGUCACGCUGCGUUUUCUUCAUUUUCCGAAUCACACUCCCCGUCCUCUGGAGUUUUUUUCUUUUUCUCAGAGAAAACAUGACAAAUGAUAAAUAUUUUUGUAAAUACACGGCACCUUGGGUACAAAAAGAAGAAUCGCUGCUUUAUUAUUGAAGUAUUUUGAAUGUCAGCCUUGACUAAAAGACUUUCACUUAUUUCUGAAAAGCUGAAGGUUUUACUGCAGAAAAAAAAUCUUUUGACUUGAAUGUCAGAGAAAUCAGAGGACUCUACCUUUUUACCUGUGAUGAAUGAGUGCUAGUCUUCACAGAGGGAUGCUUUUUUACUCCAAAUCUAAAAAUCUGUCAGACCACUCAGGCACGCCAGUUUAGUCAUCAGUCUAUCUUCAUUUAUGAAUCCAUUCUGGACCAAAAACUGGACCAUCUUUACCCCGUUUUAACCCUGAAAGGCAGAAUUUACUACCACAUUUCGGUAAACUUUACAGAGAUAUUCCUGCGUAAACUUAAUUAAGGGUCAAACACACAAUAACACCAAGUUACGCCAAAUUUUCACCGCAUCUGGAACGGCUCCGAUCCGGAAUGGCAGCGACUUUUGCAAAAUGCCAAUUCCUACUUGAUCUGUUUGUGAGUCGAAUUUCAUGGUCGAUUACAAACAGCAGGAAUCGCGAGAACUCACAAGAACCCACAGAUUUUCAUGCAAUCGCACGAUAAGGAGUUGUCUCUAUAAAGACAGACACAUAGACUUAUAAGCAGUAGAUUGUGUCCUUCCAGAGGAGGAAAUCUACUUCUAGACUUCUAGAAUCAGUCCUGUCAGGACUGUGAUGGAUCGACUUUAUUACAAAUAUUUGAGACACUAAAACUCUGAAUUUACCAGAAAUGACAUAAAAAUCUGAGAUUUUAAAAGUAUGGAUGGAAUAAACCUUCUGAGUUUAAAGAUUUCAGGUGUGCAUGAGACUCACCUGGACAUUGUCCGGGUUGUCUUGCCUCAUAUUGGGGUCCGGGACAGCACCGGUGGAGUAGUACAAACCAAAAACUGUGCUCCAUCGGGGUCUCUGGAGGUGGAGAGUGAGUUUCUAUCCUGGAUAUGGGAUAGAGGUUCAACUCUUUAUCUUUGCAGGACCUCUGGGGGACUCCUGAGGUUCUUCAUUAUCCAAUCAGAAUCUGCCUUGUUGACUCAGGAGCAGGUCUUUGGGGGGCCGAUCUGGGGAGAGGUUUGGUAGAUUUACAGGCUGGAGUUGAAAUCUCAGAAUCUGGAGUCAGGAUGAUUUCCUGAACACUGACCUUCUACCAGAAGAAAAUAUCGCAGCAUUUCUUCUCCUCCGCUCUCUCCAUGUAUACAUCUUCUGUGUGCAAUUACACAAACAAGUCUCAGAGAAAGGACAACAAUCAAUAAUUCUUUAACAGAAAGGUCAGUCCACCCCAUCACUCACAUUAACUCUAUUGAUGAGUCCUGCUCUGCAGUCUGACAAGGGAAAACCAAAGGAAAUGUAUUUUUUCCUCUUUUCCUUCAACAAUAAAACUUCAAUUAGCUGUCCUCCCACGUCCGCGUCGCUCCACUCAAAUCCAUCGUCGGCAAUGGGAAAUACUCGGGGCUUGUUGAUCAGAUUCGUCUCUUAUCAAUGACUCAUUAAUGAUUACCGAUGUGACUGUAGAUCUGUGCGUAUGCAGAUGUUGCCCCUAGUGUCCAAAGUAAGGAAGUGCAUGUACACUGAGAGGAUAAUUUAGUCUAAUAACUGAUGGUUUAAAUUUAAUGUGUCAUUAUUUUUUAAAUGAUUAGAUUAUUCACUGAUAUGCAGGGAUUCCUGGUUUAUACACCAGCAUCUGCACUUUUCAGGAGUUUGAGUUUAGUCGAUUUUUGAUGUUCUAUAUGUGAAAUACCGUAUUUUUCGGACUAUAAGGCGCGAUUAAAAUCCUUAAAUUUUUCUCAAAUAUUGACAGUGCACCUUCUAAUUCAGCACGCCUUAUAUUUGAUUAUUUGUUGUGCUUACUGACCGAUUUUAUGUGGAACAAUGCGCUAAAAAAGUCUGUCUAACUGUUAAAAUUCAACUUUGGUAAGCAUGGAGGCCGCUCCGCUUAAUGGAUAUUCAGAAAAUUACAGUACGCUGUGUCACCAUAGGUAUAUAUAAGAAAGGCUAGAUGACUCGCGGUGGAGUCACCGCUGUCCCAACACGGUGGCCAUCUUACUCCAGUAUAACAUUUUGUUACGCUCUAUGGUAGCUGAUGGGAGGCGAAUAAUCUGCAUGAUCAAAAAUCCUUUUAACUCGCUGAAAUCUUGACAGAUUUAUAAAUUGUUUAGUUUAUUACAGACCUUAAUAAUGUGGCUCUGAGUCGGGAUGUUUGGACAUAUUUAAAUGACAGAUUUACCUUGAGUAAAAAAAAAGACUUCAUCAUGAAGCACAAUUGUUUCACGGCUAUUUGCACGCAAGGGAUGACUUUGAAUUUCUUGUAUGGCAGCCCAUUAUUAAUUAAUUUAUUUAUUUUAUAUAUAUAUCUAUGUUUGUCACUACCUGAUCGGCUCUGUAACAGGACCCCUGAGCAGUCUAAAAGACAGCCUGACUGUAAUGUCUAAACUAGAAGGGCAUUCAUGUAAGACAGCUCGGGCCUGAAGUACACGCUAGCAACAAUAAACCAAUCAAUGCGCCAAUGCUUCAUGCACCUCAAAAUCCGGUGCACCUUAUGCGCAAAAUACAGUAGUUGUGAAAAGUGAAAAUCAUUCAAAGGAGCGGCUUUUCUUCAGAUGCAGUAGCUUAUCUACGGUGCACCAAGAAGGACAAAAAUAGCAAAAACGUGUCUAACCUUCAUGAUAAAAUGUUGUAGAGAUAAAUCGAACCUCUGCAGAGUGUGUGAGGUUGGAGCAGCAGCAGCAGUCUGGAGUUUCUUUAGGAGGAAAGAAGAAAAGCAAAGGUUUGGUCGUCCUCAUUCUCUCCAUCUGCCCCACAUGUCACAGCUGGUUUAGCUCAGCAGACGCUCGAUGCUUAGCUCAGCUCCCCGUGUCCUGUCACUUCAAUCAGCACUCUGCAAAGCACAGGGUCAGGCUGGGACUGUCUUCCUCUUUAAUGAACCAACAGAUAAUGGCCUAUGGGGGCCCUGGAGAGACAUGACACAAAUUGCCUUGUCCUCUGACUGGGAUUAGUGGUAAUUACUGCUCGCCUUGGCAGAUCAAUGGGAUAGUAGUGCAACACGUAGAGGCCACCCUGUGUCACACGCUGGCUUGAUACCAGAGCUCAUGAGGGCACAAUCAAAAGGAAGUGAGCUCUUGAUAUGUCACCGCGGCCCCCUCGAUUCUUUCUGACAAGAGUCAGAUGUGAUGCAGGUUUCAAAAGGAAGCGGGUUACAGAACAAAGACGGGACAAAUUCCACCUGACUGGGCGCUGAGAGGACAUCAGGGGAGCGUGGCGCUAAAACGACCCUUGACAAAGUUUCUCUGAGGAAGCACAGAAGCUGCACGGCGGUGGAGGAGGAGCCUUCAGGAGUUAGGUCUACAAACGCUGCUGUUUCCUGAAUAAACAUGGCGUCCCUGAUUACAACAGAGAUAAAUGUCAACCGCUUGCUUCUGUAGUUAUACCAACUUUUGUGACGACCGCACGAUAGCAAUACACGGCGGUCUGAGGAGCCAUAAACAAACCUCAACCAAAACGCCAAAAUGCCUCCCUGCCCCCUUCAGAAAAGUCAAAUGAACAUCGUUCCCCUUGACCUUCACUUUCUCUUAAAUCUUUGACGUCGUUUUGCGACCGCCGGUUCUACAGGAAGAGGUUCUGCACUGAUGUCAACCCGCUGACAAGGAGCAGAGCAUCGCCCCCCCCUCACCUCUGCAGAGGAGAAACACCCCCCUGAUUAAUGACCGCGGCUCUGCUCUCAUGGGUUUUUAAUUAAAGCGCUCAGAUAGAUGCACAGACAUAGAUGCGCACACAGCCUGCGGCAUCACAGAAGGGCAAGAAGAAUGGGAUUUAAUUGAGAGAGUGUAAUUUAAGAGGGAAAUACAAAUGGACCGCUCCUCUAUGGUGUGACAAUAUUGACCUUUCACCCCAUCCUGGAAUCAGACAGCUCCUCCCACUGUGUGAGAACGCCGCCGGUCACUUAAUUACAAGAUCAUAAAUCAGGAUGGAGAUUACAUGGAAGAGAGAAACAGGGAAACCAGAAGCAUCUCAAGACUCUAAAGUGAAGGGGGACGGGAUCCUCUGGUUUUAUGAGACACAGAUUUGAGUUUAACCCUUAGAGCUCCCAGAUAUAUUUUGCUAUUUUUGGUUUGCCUGUUUUUUUUUUUUUUUUGUAAAAAUCUAUGCGGUAACUCGAUCCUUUUAAGCACAGCAAAUAUAAACACAUCCUUUUUUUUCCAGGACAACCUCAGCUGUCAGUUUAUGGGUGCAAAAUUUAUGUAAAAUGAAUGUAACAGUAGAUUCAGAACCAUCAAAGUCGACCAAAAAAUUAAAACAGGAAUUAACACCAACCGUAAAUUUGCACAAAAAACCCCAUAAAUCUCCAGUGACCAAGCCUUUUCUCACCUGAACAUCAUUCUCUCAAGUCUUGGCUAUCAGGUAUAUCACUGCGGAUUUACCCUCAAACGUCUCUGAUCAAACACCUGUUUUUGUGGCUGGAUUGUAAACCCUGUGGCAGGUGUAGAAAUGUCUGGAAACCCUCUAUAGAUCGCCAAAAGGGUAAACUUUUGAACACUUUUCAUCCCGUAGAGAUACACGGUAUAGUUCCUGAGAAACUUUAAACUAUAUUAAUGGUGUCACGUGGGAUUGUCGGCGAUCCAACGGAGUUUAAGUGUUGAAGAUUUAACAAGAAAAACUAAAUGAGAACACCAGGAUGUCGUGUUUACCCAAAAACUCCAGAUACAGACUCUGCAGAAAUGAGUGAAAUGCACCUUUAGAUGGAGAAGUAAACUUGACUCAAAGAACAUCUGCAGCUCUAGUUUAGUUAUACAACAAAACACAAAACAUGAUGAAAAUUCACAGGUGUUUUCUUCAAACACAACAUCAGACCUGGUUCUGAUCGUUCAGGACCGCAGAUCCUUCUCUCUUCUAAUCACACAACAAAAACAUCACAUGUGAGGUUUAGGGAGGAGCCGUGAUUACACAGACGGACCUGGACUUGAACCUAAUCAAAAGACAAAACCAGAGCCAGAGAGAGAGAGAUGAGCUUUGAUUAGGGUCAGAGUUAACGGUCCGAGUACGUUGGUUGUGUUAAUAAAUCUGUAAAACGGAUACUACGAAUAUUUUAAGACACACAAAGUCACGGAUCCUUCACAGGAGCUGCUGAAGGGUUAAAAAUGUGUAACAUCUUAUCAGAGAGAGGAGCUGAGUUUAGAUCCAGUAAAGUACAGUCAAAGAAGAUUGAUCGGUUGGUUAAUAUCAGUCAAAGUAAACAUUUCCUUUCCUCUGGAGAACCAACAUUAAAUGCAUCAUCCUCUCUAAGACGAGGAGCGCGCUCUCUUCUUGUCAGACUUUUCUCUAAUUUGUUCGAGUUGUCAGCACAGUUCCUGUCACUCAUACUGAUGAGCUAUCAACCCUGACACGGCGUCUACACCGAGGCUGAGUUAUCAGGAGUCUGUAAAUGAUUUUAAUGAGGAAAAAGUUGCAGAGAACAGCUAGAAAGAAAACGAAAAUCUGCGUGAGCGUUAAAGAGAAGAAGGAGGUGGACAAUGCUGGCAGCUUCUCAGGGAGGAAACAAACCGGCUGCUGCAGACGGAAAGACCUGGAACAACCUGUUUCAUCUCAUUUCAUCCAAAUGAGCCGACACACACUUUAGGAGUUUAAAGAAACACACACACACACAACAUGGACGUGUUAAACACAGGUGUUAGUCUGUGCAGUGAUUGGGAUUAAAGGCGUUCAUGGUGGAGGUUUCUUUGUCAUACAGCGUCUCUUUUGUGAUGUUUUAUUAUUCUUAAACAGUGUAAGACGAGGAGAUAAGACCGUUUUUACAUCAUACCGCGGAUUCACAUGCCAUCGCGCAAUGACAAGUUGUCUUUGGCCACAGAGGCUAACCAAAUAAGCAGUAGAUUGUGUCCUUCCAGAGGAGGAAAUCUACUUCUAGACUUCUAGAAUCAGCAUCUCCUCAUCCAUGGUGUCAUCGGGGUGAAAUGACGUCUAAAAACCUUUCACUUGUUCGUCUCCACCCAUUUGCGUGGUGUGAAAUACGAUUUUGAAUUUUGAAAAGGAGCCGGAUGUUUUAUUUUGUGUCUGUGCCCGACUUCCUUUCCAGCACGGGUUAAUCUGUGCUGAAUUUACCCGCCAUGCUCUGGCGUCCGGAAAAGUAGAACUCUUGUGAUCAGCUGAGGAGUCCGGCGAUCCGCAGAGGAACGGAAAGAAGUCGGUGUAAAUUGACACGUUAACUUGAACGGUUACAAUCAGCUGCGAUCUGCAGAUACGACCUUUUCAUAGCUGUUCUAAAUGCGGUGGAAAUUAUGGGUUAGUGUGUUUGUUUAUACUGGUGUGAGAGCUGGUGCACACCAAAGAACUGUACUGGGACCACUUGAAAAGUUUGGUACCAGUACAGUUCUAUUCAGGUUUAUGCUCUAAGAGUCCAUGAACUGAAUUUAAUACUAAAAACAUAUUUUUUUACUCCACACACCAACAGAGAGAGCUCUAACUACAGGAGGCUUUGUGCUUUUCAUGAUUUAACCAGUUAAUAUUCGCUUUGUCUGGAAAUUCAACCUUUUUAACUUAAUGUUUCCCAACAAACCUCCAACAGAGUCUGGGAUACCAAGGCUACUGUAGUGAUUUUGAAUUUAUAAUUAAUGUCCUCAGAUAAAUAAUCUUAAAUUAUGACAUUUUAUUUUGGUGCCCCGUGUGAGUCCGUUUGAAAGGUCAUUAAAACUCUGUCUCUGUUCUCUGAAUUGACCUGUUGUGAAGAGCUGGAGGUUUACGUCAACGUCCGGUCGGGUCUGUUCAGUAACCUGAAAGUCUGAACAAGUCUGUAAAGGUUUAUAUAAUCCUGUGUCCUGGGACCAGAUCAGGGACCUUUCCUGCGAGGAAUGUGUGAGUUUCACCGACACGGUUGUCUUGAUGCUUUACUACUAAUUUCCUUAAAUACUGGUAUCAUCCAAAAAUUACCUAUAAGUCAGUUUAAAACUUCAACACGCUCAUGCAUGCAGAGAAAAUGCUGUUUUUUCAUCCCUCUCUAUCUCCUUCAUUCUGACAUGAACUCUGCAAACCUACAUCCUUCUGCUGAGAGAGUGGAGGGAUGGUCCGGAUCCUGUUCUGGGGAGGGUCUGAGUAUCCUUGAGUCCCCAGCAUGUGUCAGGCAGGGCGGUCAGUAGAAUAAGAGAGCUGAUUGGAUUGUGCAGCCACAUUGCUUGUACCAAUUUCCUGAGUUAAUAGGAAAUCUCUCCUUCCUGCCUCGGCGCCUUUCCCCGGGCUCUGGCAGACCAUCCACGUGGAUAUCGGAGGGAGGGGGUCUUUGUGGUCACAGAGGCGGAGGUAAACAACAACCUCGACCCGACCCUCUGUCACCUCGGUGUUGUCCCCUAAAAAAUCUCAGCGAACACGUGUCGCGUUUCCUCAGGUGUUGGUGGAGGAAGGAGAAAAACUGGCGUGGACAGGUUUUGGAGAAGAUACAAGAUCGAGGCCGCUCGCCAAACGCCACGCUUGUGAGCAUGACUGGACAAACACGGCUGUCCUCCUUCAGAGGCCGAGCCAAAACCGUCAGCCAUCGCCACGUCCACCAUGAUACCCAAAAUCAACAGAGGAGAGGGGGAUAAACACUGGCAUGAGCCGCUGUUCGAGUCCAGAGAGGUUUUCCAGACUGUCCUCAUCUGUCUCUCCACAUCUGCUCGAGUCUCUUGAAACACAAUCGGACGAUCAAACAAACUGUGCGUUUGGUUUUGGAUUUAUCAGAGAAACGGACCGAAUCACUCCCGCCUUUAAUUCCUCCUCUCUUUUUUCCACCUUAUAUGUGUUUUUCCAUCCCCCAACGUCUCCCACAGUGACCUUUUAAAGGUCUUUUAAAGUGGAGGUAGGAGAAGGCACGCCUGCAGCCUCAUAUUAUCGGAUGAGGCGGCUGACAAAUGUGGCAGUGUUCACGCAGGAGCUUCUAUUAAUCUCCCAAACGAUGCAAGGCCUAAUGGGAAGAGGACUUAAGAGAGGACACAGCCGCUUUCUGCUCUUCCUCCAGGACACGGGCAGAGAGUAAUGUCCUAUUGCAAUCAGAUUACUCCUUUCUCCCUCUGACUAUUUCCUGACACCGACCACGACACUCCCCCUCCGAUUUAUUUCACUGGCCACUGUUAAUUCCCACUGGUGGUCAUCCAUCUUUUUUUCCCCUUUAGUUUAGCAGAAUUUAAUCUCUUCCAUUUUUACAAAUCAUUUGUCUUUGCCUCCACGCUGUGGAGAAAUCGUCGAUGAAAGAUUAAACAUAGUAAGCCACACACUGCACAUCCAUUGUAUUACAAGGUCAUGGUGCUCGGGUGGUCGGACAUAGACCGAAUCCUCAAACUUCACAUUAUCGUAGAAAAGGAACUUUUCUCUGCACUUUUUAAAGUCUCCUGUCCUUAAACCGGCGUGUGCAUGUGACAAAACAAAACAGGAGAAUAAAAACUGUAUUAAUAUGUGCUUUAAAAAUGGAGUUAUCAUUGUUUUUGCAGAAGAAAUACUCAGAUGCAGCUAAUUAACACUCAGUGAACAAGAACUUUCUACUCGAGUCUCCGAGGGCUUUGAGAUUAAACAAAGACUCAACCAUUAAAAGUCAUUAUUCUGCUCUGAAAUUAAACAAUUAAAUUAAAGUUUGUAUGAUUAAAAAGGAUGUUAGUUUGAGAACAGGAAAAUGGAUGUGGAGGUACGGCUCUGUGGAGCUUUAAACUGGUUUUAAAUUUGAACAAAAACGUGUUUAAAAGUGAAAUUAACAGGUACGACUUUCAACCAAGUUAACUUUCUUCAAAAUGCCUCAAAUUUACACACUUACUGUUAAAAAACACUGAUAAACCAGCACAUUAUGACCACUAAUAUGGUGGAGGUUCCCUAUUAUCAGGUUUUGGGUAAAGACCUUCAUCAUUAUUUUAUAAAGAAUCAUCAAAGCUGUGAUGGACCCAGGAAGAAAACUUUGGGGUCUUAAUAAACUCAACAUCCUAGAACAAACAAACAAUAUCAAACAUCAGACUUUGUUGACCAGCAUGUCCAGUAGAUGUUGGAUCGACUUCUGAUCUGGAGAAUUUUGAGGCUAAGUGCGUUUUUCUGUUCACCAUAAUGUUGUCGCUCAUUGAUUUAAAGGUGGGGUUAGCAGGAAUCCGUUAAAGAAGCAUCUUAUUUGUGGUGUUUAAACAAAAAAGCUUUUAAUAUAAGUCAAUAGUUAUUAGUUAUUGAUCACAUUUGGUAUUAUAAUGGUAAAGUUAAGUUUUGUUAUGUCUGUGUCGUCAACAUUUUAACAUUUUUGAGCGGUCCGCUCUUUCUGACUGUAAACAAAACCAUUCUCCACCUCCUCUAACCUGAUUGGUUGUGAGGCAGACGCUGCUCCCUCAUGUUGUAAGGCACGCUCCACGUCCUCCAAUCACAUUCACGAGCCAAAACAAAGUUAGCGUGUGACAAUACCAGACAGUAGGAACCAACCAUUAAGUACGAAAAACACAAGAAAACGAAGUAAAUACCGGAGACUCUGGAGGAAUAACGGGCGCUUAAAACGGAGGUAGACCGGACAAGAGCUAAAAAGCCGGGUCAACAUAAACGAUGGGGGACGCUUGGGGAUCUUGGUGACCCUGUAACCUUUCUGCUGGACAGGUAAACCGCUUUAACAAAGUAAGACAAGUGUCUGUAACAGAAGUGUUUCUUGUCAAACGGACCUGCUGUAGCGUGUUGUAGCGCCAUCGCUAAACUGUCCUCCCUCGGGUCCUGGACUAUGUCACUUUAUCCUCGUUGUAGAAGUCCUGCAAACAUUGUGUUUGCUGGUAGUCUGUUGGCAUCUACAGUAGCGCCAAUGCUUUUGACUUUCACCUUGACUGGGCCCCAUUUGUAAUGAUCUGAAGUAUUUAUCUGCAUUAUAUCUGAAUUUAAUUGGAACGAUACGAGCGAGCAGGAGCGUCUGUUUGUGGGCGGGGCUUGAGGGGAGAGGAGGAGC
rnacentral:lncRNA from 1 species